GGUGCACAGGCUACCUCUUAGAGAAGAUUGUCCUUCGGUAAAGCAGAAGCUUCGUAGAACUAGUCCUGACAUGGCUGUUAAGAUCAAAGAAGAGGUUCAGAAGCAGUUGGAUGCGAGUUUUCUGUCAGUGACCAAUUAUCCCCCGUGGGUGGCCAACAUCGUACCUGUGCCGAAGAAGGAUGGUAAAGUCAGGAUGUGUGUCGAUUACCGGGAUUUAAAUAGAGCCAGUCCGAAAGAUGACUUCUCAUUACCUCCCAUUGAUGUAUUGGUUGAUAAUACUGCUCAAUCCUCGGUUUUCUCUUUCAUGGAUGGAUUUUCUGGCUAUAAUCAGACCAAGAUGGCGCCAGAAGACAUGGAAAAGACGAAAUUCAUUACACCUUGGGGAACGUUCUGCUAUAAGGUGAUGCCAUUUGGCCUGAAGAAUGCCGGUGCUACCUAUCAGAGGGCUAUGACGACUCUCUUUCAUGACAUGAUGCACAAAGAGAUUGAAGUGUACAUGGAUGAUAUGAUUGCGAAGUCUCAGACAGAGGAGGAGCACCUGGUAAACCUGCAGAAGUUGUUUGAAAGACUGAGAAAGUUCAAACUGAGGCUGAAUCCAAACAAGUGUACGUUUGGGGUGAGAUCCAGAAAGCUGUUGGGUUUCAUUGUCAGUGAGAGAGGGAUUGAGGUUGAUCCAGCGAAAGUAAAAGAUAUUCAAGAAAUGCCUGAACCAAGAACUGAAAAGCAGGUUCGUGGGUUUUUAGGGAGAUUGAACUACAUUGCACGGUUUGUAUCUCACCUAACUGCCACGUGUGAACCCAUUUUCAAAUUGCUAAGAAAAGAUCAAGCAAUCAGGUGAAAUGAUGACUGUCAAAAAGCUUUUGAUAAAAUAAAAGAGUAUUUGCAGAAACCUCCAAUCCUUAUCCCUCCAGUUCCUGGAAGGCCUCUGAUAAUGUACCUUUUAGUAACCGAGAACUCGAUGGGGUGUGUAUUGGGACAGCAUGACGAGUCUGGUCGAAAAGAGCAUGCUAUAUACUACCUUAGCAAAAAAGUUUACCGACUGUGAAAUAAGAUAUUCGCAGCUCGAGAAAACUUGUUGUGCUUUGGCCUGGGCUGCUCGCCGACUGAGACAGUAUAUGUUGAACCAUACUACCUUAUUGAUUUCUAAGAUGGUAAAAAGUUUACCGACUGUGAAAUAAGAUAUUCGCAGCUCGAGAAAACUUGUUGUGCUUUGGCCUGGGCUGCUCGCCGACUGAGACAGUAUAUGUUGAACCAUACUACCUUAUUGAUUUCUAAGAUGGACCCCGUAAAAUACAUCUUUGAAAAGCCGGCUCUCACCGGACGUGUUGCUCGUUGGCAGAUGAUUUUAACAGAGUAUGACAUCCAGUAUACGUCGCAGAAGGCCAUCAAAGGUAGUAUUCUGUCAGACUACCUCGCUGAGCAACCAAUCGAUGAUUAUCAGCCGAUGAUGUUUGAGUUCCCUGAUGAAGACAUCAUGUACUUGAAGAUGAAAGAUUGUGAAGAGCCUCUUGUCGGAGAAGGACCGGAUCCUGAUGACAAGUGGACAUUGAUGUUUGAUGGGGCUGUGAAUGUGAAUGGCAACGGUGUUGGGGCAGUGCUUAUCAAUCCCAAAGGUGCACACUUACCUUUUUCUGCCAAAUUUACUUUUGACGUAACCAACAACGAGGCUGAGUAUGAGGCUUGUAUCAUGGGGAUAGAGGAAGCCAUCGAUUUGAGGAUCAAAACUCUAGACAUUUAUGGAGAUUCCGCUCUAGUGAUUAACCAAGUCAAUGGAGACUGGAAUACUCCUCAGCCACAUUUGAUUCCUUAUCGAGAUUACACCAGAAGGAUCUUGACUUUCUUCAAGACAGUGAAGUUAUAUCAUGUCCCCCGAGAUGAAAAUCAGAUGGCUGAUGCCUUGGCUACUUUGUCUUCUAUGAUCAAAGUCCAUUGGUGGAAUCAUGUGCCACAUGUUGCUGUGAAUCGACUCGAGAGGCCUGCGUAUGUGUUUACAGCCGAGUCUGUUGUUGAUGAGAAGCCGUGGUACUUUGACAUUAAGAAUUUCCUUAAGAGCCAGGAGUAUCCUGAAGGAGCAUCAAAGAAUGACAAGAAGACCUUGAGAAGGCUAGCUGGAAGCUUUUAUUUGAAUCAGGAUGAUGUGUUGUAUAAGAGGAACUUUGAUAUGGUUCUGCUCAGAUGCGUGGAUAGACACGAAGCAGACAUGUUGAUGCAAGAAGUACAUGAAGGAUCGUUCGGUACCCAUGCUGGUGGUCAUGCAAUGUCUAAGAAGUUGUUAAGAGCUGGUUAUUACUGGAUGACUAUGGAACCCGAUUGUUUCAAAUACGCUCGGAAAUGCCAUAAAUGUCAGAUCUAUGCAGAUAAGGUGCAUGUACCACCAAGCCCUCUGAAUGUCAUGAAUUCUCCUUGGCCAUUCGCGAUGUGGGGCAUCGAUAUGAUUGGGAAGAUUGAACCUACUGCUUCUAAUGGGCAUCGCUUCAUCCUGGUCGCGAUCGAUUACUUCACCAAGUGGGUGGAAGCAGCUUCCUAUGCUAAUGUUACCAAGCAAGUGGUUGCCCGGUUCAUUAAGAAGGAGAUUAUUUGUCGUUAUGGGGUUCCUGAGAGAAUCAUUACUGAUAAUGGUUCGAACCUCAAUAACAAGAUGAUGAAAGAGCUCUGCAAAGAUUUUAAGAUCGAACACCACAAUUCUUCUCCUUACAGACCAAAGAUGAAUGGUGCUGUAGAGGCGGCAAACAAGAAUAUCAAGAAGAUUGUGCAGAAGAUGGUCGUGACGUACAAGGAUUGGCAUGAGAUGCUGCCUUUCGCUUUGCAUGGGUACCGUACCUCAGUACGUACGUCGACCGGAGCAACCCCUUACUCCCUUGUGUAUGGUAUGGAAGCAGUCCUACCAGUUGAAGUGGAGAUCCCUUCCCUGAGAGUCUUGCUGGAUGUCAAGCUAGACGAAGCUGAGUGGGUCAGGACAAGGUUUAAUGAGUUAAGCCUUAUCAAAGAAAAGCGGUUAGCAGCUGUGUGCCAUGGGCAGCUAUAUCAGAGAAGGAUGAAGAAAGCCUUUGAUCAGAAAGUGCGUCCUCUAAGCUAUCAGACAGGUGAUUUGGUUUUGAAGAGGAUCCUUCCUCCCGGUACAGAUAACAGGGGCAAAUGGACUCCGAAUUACGAAGGUCCAUAUGUUGUUAAAAAGGUUUUCUCUGGUGGAGCCUUGAUGUUUACAACUAUGGAUGGUGAAGAUUUUUCGUCCCCUGUUAACUCAGAUGUAAUCAAAAAAUACUUCGCAUAAAUUGACCCGUUGGACGAAAAAAGAAUAAAAGAGUCCAGGCAAAAAAAGGGCAUCCCGGCGAACCAAAAAAAAUGAAAAAAGUUCGGGCAAAAAUUAGGGAUAAAAGAAUAAAAAGAUUGUACACCCGGUAAGUCGAAAACCCGCAAGGGCGGCUUAGGCAAAAAUGGGUAACCCGGUGGAUUGAAAACCCGAAAGGGCGAUCCAUGCAAAAGAGGGAUUAAAGCGAAGACUAUAGUCUGAGUUAUCUGUACUUCACCAUGCUUCAGUGUCUACCAUCUCGAAGGAUAUGAUCGGUCCAAUCAUUCUUCUUAGAAAGCAAGGAAUUUGAGGAUCUGUGAGUCAUAACAGAAUUGGAAAAUAGUGGAUGUUGUAUUCACAUUGCCAUUAGGAUAAAUAUUUCCUUUUGCGUGCAAUUACCUCUUCCUAGGAAUUGCUUCCUGAUGUAUUUGCCUUUUCAGGCCCAUUUUCAAUCAAUAAAAGUCGUUAUUCAGAUAAAUUACUCUCUUGUUUUUUAUUUUACUGUUUUGUAAAUGUCCGGAUUUUUGAUAAACAUUGCAUAUAAAAAAAACGUGAAGGCUAGACAAUAACAUGCAGAAAGAUAAAACAUUUGAAAAUCAUUUUGAAUGUUGAGUACACUUGGGUGUAUCUUGUCCAUACAAUCCCCUAGGGCAUGUAUGUCUUGCUGUUUUGCAGGUUAUUACCUUUGAUUUCUGGUUGAAGCAGAUAAGCCACGAUUUGUUCAGAGGCGUUUCAACACUGUCCAGUAGUGUGAAAGGUUGGGUUGUCUAAAGCAAGUUCAGGACUUGUCUCCCCAGCGUAUUCGAGAUCAGGGAUUCCUCGGCAGGGUUGAGGACGUUUCCCCAGCAAGUCUGAAAACUAUUAGAGUUGUUCUUCCCCGGCAGAGGCAUCUGUGGGUAGUAUGUCCCUCAGCGGCAGGUUCAAAGGCUACCCUAUCCCCAGCUAGUCUGAAGACUGUUAGUCCCCACUGAGUCUGAAGGUUGUCGUUUCCCCAGCAGUGGUGCCUGUGGGUGGUUUGUUCCUCAACAGUCGGGUAUGAAGUAAUGAAAUCCUCAGCAGGGUCGUGAAUGCUUUUCCCCAGCAGGGUUGUGAAUGUUUUCCCCAGCAAGUCUGAAGUGGGCAGUCUUCCCAGAAGAGGUUUGCGUUGAUGGUUUUCCCCAGUGAAGUCCCCAAGCGGAUCGAGUUCGGUGAAAAUUUUCCCCAAUAGGGUUAAUCCUGCCCGUGGAUUGGUAGGUAUCCCCAGUGAAGGUGAGCAUUGGUUGUUUCCCCUAGCGGAGUCUCCAAGCAGAUUGAGUUCGGUGAAAGUUGUCCCCGGUGGGAUUUAUCCUUUCUCCAGCAGCAGUGCUAUUCCCCAUCACGUUCGAGGUUGGUGUGUUCCCUAGCUAGAGGCUCCCCAGUUGAGUUGGCUUCUCUGCCGUCCCCAGAGUGUCAGAUCAGCAAAGCACCCCCAACAGUGCGUCUACCCAUAGAGUUGGAGGAUCAAAUCAGAUUUGUGUGCUCAGCGGAGCAACCAGUUCUCCCCAGCGGGAGUCUUCAUCAUUUUUGCAUCUUGCAUGUAGUAAUCAUUGCAUCCUCAAAUAACGUAGCAUUUCCAUUCAAUAUGGAGCAUUACGCCAUGGAAAUUCAAACAUAUGCAUACAUGUGUUAAACCUAAUUGGACCAUAUCCCCAGCAGAGACGGAUCAUUAUUCAACAAUCCGCAUGGCAUAUUUGCAGUGGUGGCUCCUGACAGCAUUCAGGAUUGGUAAUCCCCAGAGAGGUUUAUUUCCUCACCCGCUGAUGAAAGGAAAGCUUGACUCCCCAGCGUAGUCCCCGACGAGUGUGUGGCCUUGUCCUGACAUAUGUAGAUGUCAUCCUUGCGGUACCAGUAGGUGUCGUGUCGAUCCCCGUAUGGAUCCUGUCUUUUGGUGUCUGUAGACAUCAUCUUUCGAUGUCCGUAACAUCAGCCUCGUUCUCCCAUUCGUCCGUCGACGUCUGGUUGUAUAUCUCUUCCUAUUCGUCCUUUGGCGUCUAGUCGUGGUUUCUCUUCCUAUUCAUCGUCUUUCGAUGUCUAGUCGUGGUUCCUUUCUCCCAUUCAUCUGUUGAUGUCUGGUUGAGUCUUUCCUAUUCGUCCGUUGACGUCUAGUCGUGGUUUCUCUUCCUAUUCGUCCUUUGGCGUCUAGUCGUAGUUUCUCUUCCUAUUCAUCGUAUUUCGAUGUCUAGUCGUGGUUCCUUUCUCCCAUUCAUCCGUUGAUGUCUGGUUGAGUCUUUCCUAUUCGUCCGUUGACGUCUAGUCGUGGUUUCUCUUCCUAUUCGUCCUUUGGCGUCUAGUCGUAGUUUCUAUUCCUAUUCAUCGUAUUUCGAUGUCUAGUCGUGGUUCCUUUCUCCCAUUCAUCUGUUGAUGUCUGGUUGAGUCUUUCCUAUUCGUCCGUUGACGUCUAGUCGUGGUUUCUCUUCCUAUUUAUCCUUUGGCGUCUAGUCGUAGUUUCUCUUCCUAUUCAUCGUAUUUCGAUGUCUAGUCGUGGUUUCUCUUUCUCCCAUUCAUCCGUUGAUGUCUGGUCGAGCUUUUCCUAUUCGUCUGUUGACGUCUAGUCGUGGUUUCUCUUCCUAUUCAUCGUAUUUCGAUGUCUAGUCGUGGUUCCUUUCUCCCAUUCAUCCGUUGAUGUCUUGGUCGAGUGUUUUCCCAUUCGUCCGUCGACGUCUGGUUGUAUAUCUUUUCCUAUUCGUCCGUUGACGUCUAGUCGUAGUUUCUCUUCCUAAUCAUCGUCUUUCGAUGUCUAGUCGUGGUUUCUUUCUCCCAUUCAUCCGUUGAUGUCUGGUUGAGUCUUUCCUAUUCGUCCGUUGACGUCUAGUCGUGGUUUCUCUUCCUAUUCGUCCUUUGGCGUCUAGUCGUAGUUUCUCUUCCUAAUCAUCAUCUUUCGAUGUGUGGUCGUGACUUCUUUAUUCCCAUUCAUCAUCUUUCAAUGUCUGGUCGUGGUUCCGGUCUCCGAUAAAAAAUCAAAAUCCCCAGUAGAGUCGUUGGUAAACAUCUUGUCUGGUCUAGUGAUAAAUAUCAGAUCCCGGUGGAAGUUGCUAUUGGUGAACCUUCUUUUCUUGGAUCCCCGCAGAGUGCAAAUUUCUACGGUACUUUUGGUAUUCAAUCCCUGUUUACCUUGAAUGUCUGACAGCCGUUGCUCUCAUCCGUUCAGGUUCCCAGUUGAUUGAAUAGGGGCAGCUGUAGCACCUCAAAUUUGCACCCCCCAUUUGUACAUUCAUUUCAUUUUUUAGGUCAUUAACAUUGCAUAAUGCAUUGCAUUUCAUCAGUCAAGACUGGUAUCAGGAGAAUUCAUCUGUGCAAGAGAGCAAGCAUUUUCAUGAGAAAAAGGCCCUAUGGUUGUUCUAGAUAGCUUGUGUGAACCCAAGGUUCAUUUUGAAGCAACUUGACCAAGUGUUGAAAGCUCAAAGUCCACAGUGCAGUUUCAGGUCAUCUGGGGCCCAUAAAAGUCAACUGCAAAGUCAACUGAGGGCUAGGAGGUGGAGAAAUGGUUUGAGACACUUCAUUCAUGUCCCAAAGAGGGUUAUUCAACAUGUAAAACAUCUACCUUGAAGAUUUUGAAGCCAGAUCAAAAGUUUCCCAAAAUGGAAAGUGACCUGUAAUUUCAAGUUUCCAAAAAUGGAAAGUUUUUAGACCAACUUCAACUCAACUUUCCAACAUCAAAGAAGCUUCAAAUGAAAUUUUGUCCAACAUGAAAGUUGAAGAUCUCUCUCUCCCAUUUCCAAAAAGUCCAAGAUCAUAAGCAUAUGAUGAAUGGUUGGGGAGAUAUGAUCAAAUCAUUGCCAAGUGUGCAUGAAACUUCAAAAGGGCAUAACUUUUGACUCAUAAUUCCGAAUUGAGUGGCUCUCUUUGCACUUUGCUCCUCAUGACAUGUAGUUUCCAAAUCAUUCAUCACAUUGCAUGGAAUUUGAACAGAUGAUCAUUUGUUUAUUCAUGAAGGUUUUGGAGGGAAAUUCAUAAAUUCAAAAUUGGUGCAUCAUGGGAACAAAUCACCAUUGUCAUUGUGUUAAUUGGGAGUUUUUAAGUGAAAAUGAUCAGCCACAUAGCACUGUUCACGUGUGCAUGCUUCAUGCACCACCAAUUUUGCCAAUUUGCCAAACACCUUAUUUUUCACUUAAUUUCAACAAACAGGAUUAAUUGCGAUUAAGAAUGGCGAAUAGCUUAGGGUAUUACUAUACAUAAUCAUACAGAAUUUUUCACUUCUUCACUAUUUGCUUGAUCUCAAAUUCUCUUUCCCUCCAAUUUUUUUCUCUCAAUCAUAAUUCAAAUUUUCAUCACAUAACCUUCCAAUUUUCUUGCAUAUUCUUGCUCCCUGGGGUGGAUUUAGUACAGAUCAAGCAUUGGAUCACCAAGAUUGGACCAGAAUCGUGCAUGUGGAGCUCAAGAACAUAGCCAUGGCAGUUGAGAUUUAAGCAAGAUCUACAUAGUUCCAAGCCUCAAAUUCUUCAUCAAUCUUCAUAACAAGUGUCCUAGAGCAGAUUUGAAGCUUGCCAAGCCUUGGAUCGUGCAUUUCCAGAAGUUGAUCUUCAAGAGGUUCAGUUUUCGAAUCUCAUAAUUCCCAAAACUAUUGCCAUUAUAGUGUAGAAAAUCUAAAUUACGUGGACCAUCAGAUCUCCCUUAUUAAUUGAGGUGGCAGAUCAGAUGGUCCCUAGCGCGCUAUCCACCAUUGACCUUAGUUAGCGCGUGGAAAAUGUGAUAUUCAAAACCAACGCUCAGGAUUAGAUCAAAACACAUGAAUCAUGUGGUUCAGAUGCUAGCCAACUCAUCGUCGGAGCCAGAGCUCCGGUCAUCUUCUCCGGUGGACCUCACCGAAUUGGUCCACCAUGAACCAUCACCAUAAUGAAAAACAAGGACAUGGUCUUGAAUAAAAAAUGGCACUGAGCUCGAAUCUGACCUCCAUUCACUCCAAUUCCAAGUAUAUUGAGAGAUACAUGGAAUUGAAAUUUGAGGUACAUGAACUGAGUUACUUCGAUUUGACCUCAAAGAAACUCAAUUUUCUUGCCUACAUUGGUAGGACUUCAGACAACCAAAGAAUCAAUAGAAUUGAGCAAGAAUUUGAGAGAAUCGAAGAGUUUAAAAUUUCCAAAAAAUACCUUCAAUGAAGGUCUGAAUUCAGUUGAUCUUGAUCUUGCUUAUGCUUGGACUCACUCCACUUGCUUGCAGGAGAAGGAUUGAAUGGUUAAAAAGCUAUGGAUUCCUGGAGAAUUGAAUUCCAAAAUAGUGGAGAUUCAAGCUCAAAUUCAACAGAAUUUUUCAGGCAUAUCCUUUGAGAAUUGAGGGUUUGAAAUGGGGGAUCAAAGCUGGCGCGAUUGUGUGCGUAUUUCUGAGCAAUUGAAGCUCUAUUUAUAGCUGAAAUGGUUGAUAAUUUCACACUCUCAUUCACUUUCUAAUUUUGGCAAAUGGUGAUGUAAUGGUGCAUGGGCGCGCAUAGGCACAUGAAAUGAUUACUAGAGGUCCAAAAAUGAACAUCAGAUGCUCUGAAGUAGGCUUGGAUUGCAAGGCAAGUGUACAUUGAUGUUUGAAGUUUGAUCCAUGCCAAGUGAUAUCACCCUGUUUAAGCCAUGCGCAAUUGGUGCAACCUGAAAAAUACAGUGCGUGAAAAAAAACAACCGGCGAAAGAAAAGGACAGAAGAGUCGCCACCGUGCGUUAUUCAUCCCAAAGGAGGGAAAGGAAACGCUCGAAGUAAACCUGAAAAAGGAAAGGACAAGACGGGGUCUCGCAACCAAAUCUUGGGUUCGGGAGUCGGUUAUGCGAAGGGAAGGUAUUAGCACCCCUACGCAUCCGUAGUACUCUACGGGAUCCACUUUUGUNNNNNNNNNNNNNNNNNNNNNNNNNNNNNNNNNNNNNNNNNNNNNNNNNNNNNNNNNNNNNNNNNNNNNNNNNNNNNNNNNNNNNNNNNNNNNNNNNNNNNNNNNNNNNNNNNNNNNNNNNNNNNNNNNNNNNNNNNNNNNNNNNNNNNNNNNNNNNNNNNNNNNNNNNNNNNNNNNNNNNNNNNNNNNNNNNNNNNNNNNNNNNNNNNNNNNNNNNNNNNNNNNNNNNNNNNNNNNNNNNNNNNNNNNNNNNNNNNNNNNNNNNNNNNNNNNNNNNNNNNNNNNNNNNNNNNNNNNNNNNNNNNNNNNNNNNNNNNNNNNNNNNNNNNNNNNNNNNNNNNNNNNNNNNNNNNNNNNNNNNNNNNNNNNNNNNNNNNNNNNNNNNNNNNNNNNNNNNNNNNNNNNNNNNNNNNNNNNNNNNNNNNNNNNNNNNNNNNNNNNNNNNNNNNNNNNNNNNNNNNNNNNNNNNNNNNNNNNNNNNNNNNNNNNNNNNNNNNNNNNNNNNNNNNNNNNNNNNNNNNNNNNNNNNNNNNNNNNNNNNNNNNNNNNNNNNNNNNNNNNNNNNNNNNNNNNNNNNNNNNNNNNNNNNNNNNNNNNNNNNNNNNNNNNNNNNNNNNNNNNNNNNNNNNNNNNNNNNNNNNNNNNNNNNNNNNNNNNNNNNNNNNNNNNNNNNNNNNNNNNNNNNNNNNNNNNNNNNNNNNNNNNNNNNNNNNNNNNNNNNNNNNNNNNNNNNNNNNNNNNNNNNNNNNNNNNNNNNNNNNNNNNNNNNNNNNNNNNNNNNNNNNNNNNNNNNNNNNNNNNNNNNNNNNNNNNNNNNNNNNNNNNNNNNNNNNNNNNNNNNNNNNNNNNNNNNNNNNNNNNNNNNNNNNNNNNNNNNNNNNNNNNNNNNNNNNNNNNNNNNNNNNNNNNNNNNNNNNNNNNNNNNNNNNNNNNNNNNNNNNNNCAUGGGCCAAUGACACUUGCUGGGGAUAACAAAGGUAAGUCAUGAACAAUCUUCAGUCUGAGUACUGAAAACAACUUCUAGCUUAUCACUUGGGAUACCGAGAAUGUUUUAUGCUUACAUGCGUAUGUUUGAAUUUUCCAAUUGCGUAAUGCAACAUGAAAAUGGAAAUGCUACGCGAUUUGGAAGGAUGCAAUGCAAUAUGAUUCUACAUGCAGGGAUGCGAAAUGCUGGGUAGAAUGCCAAGAUGAGGCAAGGGGAUCUGUUGGGGAAAUGAUCACCAUCUUCUGGACCCUGGCAAGGCUGCUGGAGAUGCACAUCGCAAAGAAUUAUGUGGGGAAAUGACCCGCCACACGGUGUUCUAGCAAUGACGAAAUGCCGAGAUUCAGACUGGGGAUAGAACGACACUGAACACCUGUUGUUGGGGAAAGCGAUAGUGGUUCUGGCAACCACGAUCUGCGAGAGAUGACUCAGCAGGGGAAGCAAACACUGAUACGGUACCGGGGUUCUGCUUCAAGGAAAGAAACCAUGGAUCUGGCAUUGGGAUUAUCGAUCUGGCAUCGAACUCUAAGGAGCAGCCACUUCUGCUGGGAAGAUACAGUCUGGCACUGUCAACUCCGCUGGGGAUAUAUAGUCUGGCACUGUCAACUCUACUGGGGAGUGUAUGUCCUGAAACAAACGCUUGGGGAAGUACAGUGGUGAGAACCUGCUGGGGAUUGAAGAAUCCAACACUCUGAUCAGCUCUGCAGGGAUAAGACACCGGAUUCGUCUGUUGGCGACUUCACUGGGGAAGAUAUUCACGAUCAUCUGCAGGGGAUUUUAAGGAAAUGCCCCGAGGGUAUCUGUUCUGAAUAGACGAUCCAAAGCACUUAAAAUUUACAGCAAUUUUAAAUGUUUAUUAAGCAUGUACCUGUAAAGCCCUUAUGUGUCAUGAUGCAAUGUUUAUCAAAAAUUCGGACGUCAUUUUUGCAAACAAAACAGUAAAAUGAAAAUGAAAACAGAGAUAUACUGAAUAACAUGAUUUUAUUGAUUGAAUGGCCUCUGAAUAGGCAUUUACAUCAGGAAGCAAUCCCUGGAAAGAGGUAAUCGCACAAAAGAUAAAAACAGAAAUUAAUCUAAUGGCAAUGUGAAAUGGAUUUCUAUUGGGUUCCAAUUCUGCUAUGACUUGCCCGUCUUCAAGAUCCUCCAGAUGAUCAGCCUUCUGAAAAGGUGAUUGGACUGUUUCCUACCUUUCGAAAAUUUCCAGUCAUCGACAUGAGAUGAGAUUCAGAACUAACUCAGAACGCAGUCAUUCGCUUAAUCCCUAACUUUUGCCUGGAUCGCCCUUUUCGGGUUUUCAAUCCACCGGGAUACCCAUUUUUGCCUAAGUUGCCUUUUCAGGUUUUCAACUUACCGGGUGUACGAUCUUUUCAUUUUUAAUCCCUAAUUUUUGCCCGAACCUUUUCAUUUUCUUGGUUCGUCGGGAUGCCCAUUUUUGCCUGGACUAUUCUUUUUACUGUCCAGCGGGUCUAUUUUAUGCGAAGUAUUUUUUAACUGCGUCUGAGUUCACAGGGGAAGUGAAGUUUUCACCAUCCAUAGUUGCAAGCAUUAAGGCCCCACCAUCAAAAACCUUGGUGACAAUAUACGGUCCAUCAUAGUUAGGAGUCCACUUGCCCCUGUGAUCUGUCUGAGGAGGAAGGAUCCUUUUCAACACUAAAUCUCCGACUUGGAAACAACGAGGACGCACUUUCUGAUCAAAGGCUCUCUUCAUCCGACUCUGAUACAACUGCCCAUGACAAAUGGCUGCCAUUCGCUUCUCUUCGAUAAGACUCAACUCAUUGAACCUUGUCCGAAUCCAUUCAGCUUCGUCUAACUUGACAUCCAACAAGACUCUUAGAGAAGGAAUCUCCACUUCAACAGGUAGGACUGCUUCCAUACCAUACACAAGGGAGUAAGGGGUUGCCCCGGUCGAUGUACGUACUGAAGUGCGGUACCCAUGCAAGGCGAAAGGUAGCAUCUCAUGCCAAUCUCUGUACGUGACGACCAUCUUCUGCACAAUCUUCUUUAUGUUCUUAUUUGCCGCCUCAACAGCGCCGUUCAUCUUAGGGCGGUAAGGGGAAGAAUUGUGAUGCUGAAUGUUGAAGUUCUGACACAACUCCUUCAUCAUUUUGUUGUUGAGAUUAGAACCAUUAUCAGUAAUGAUUCUUUCGGGAAUCCCAUAGCGACAAAUGAUUUCUUUCUUGAUGAAACGGGCAACCACAUGUCUGGUGACAUUCGCGAACGACGCUGCCUCGACCCACUUGGUGAAAUAGUCGAUGGCAACAAGGAUGAAGCGAUGCCCAUUGGAAGCAGUCGGCUCAAUCUUUCCAAUCAUGUCAAUGCCCCACAUGGCAAACGGCCACGGCGAAGACAUCACAUUCAGAGGAUUCGGCGGUACAUGCACCUUAUCAGCAUAAAUCUGGCAUUUAUGACACUUCCGAGCAUACUUGAAACAAUCUGAUUCCAUGGUCAUCCAAUAAUAACCCGCUCUCAACAAUUUCUUAGCCAUUGCAUGUCCGCCGGCAUGAGUACCGAAGGAACCUUCAUGAACUUCCUGCAUUAACAUGUCCGCCUCGUGUCUGUCCACGCAUCUGAGCAAAACCAUGUCGAAGUUCCUCUUAUACAGCACAUCGUCUUUGUUCAAGAAGAAACUGCCUGCCAAUCUUCUCAAAGUCUUUCUGUCAUUGUUGGAUGCCCCUGCAGGGUACUCUUGAUUCUUCAGAAAGCACUUGAUAUCGUGAUACCAGGGCUUGUCAUCGACUACCAGUUCAGCAGCAAACACAUACGCGGCCCUGUCAAGGCGCAUCACAUCGAUCCUGGGAGCAUGGUUCCAACGAAUUACCUUGAUCAUGGAGGAUAGAGUAGCAAGUGCGUCUGCCAUCUGGUUCUCAUCACGAGGUAUAUGAUACAAUUUUACUGUUGUGAAGAAAGUCAACAGUCUUCUCGUGUAAUCUCUGUAGGGGACCAGAGUGGGCUGGAGAGUAUUCCAAUCACCAUUCACUUGAUUGAUCACCAGAGCUGAAUCUCCGAAGAUGUCCAGAGUCUUGAUUCUCAGAUCAAUGGCUUGCUCAAUACCCAAGAUACAGGCCUCGUACUCAGCUUCAUUAUUUGUGCACUCAAAAGUCAAACGAGCGGUGAAAGGCAUGUGGGCACCUUUCGGAGUAGUAAUGACAGCGCCAAUUCCACUUCCUCUAGCAUUGACAGCCCCAUCAAACAACAAAGUCCACUUUUCGUUUGGAUCAGGUCCCUCCUCAACAACUGGCUCUUCACAGUCUUUCAUCUUGAGGAACAUGAUGUCUUCAUCAGGGAAUUCAAACUUCAUCGGCUCAUAAUCAUCAAUCGGCUGCUCGGCAAGGUAGUCUGACAGAAUACUCCCUUUGAUGGCCUUCUGUGACGUGUACUGAAUAUCAUACUCUGUUAAAAUCAUUUGCCAACGAGCGACCCUUCCGGUGAGAGCUGGCUUCUCGAAUAUGUAUUUCACUGGAUCCAUCUUAGAAAUCAACAAGGUAGUAUGGUUCAACAUAUACUGCCUCAGUCGGCGAGCAGCCCAGGCCAAAGCACAGCAAGUUUUCUCAAGCUGCGAAUAUUUGAUUUCACAGUCGGUAAACUUUUUGCUAAGGUAGUAUAUGGCAUGCUCUUUUCGACCAGACUCGUCAUGCUGUCCCAAUACACACCCCAUCGAGUUCUCAGUCACUGAUAGGUACAUUAUCAGAGGUCUCCCAGGAACUGGAGGUAUAAGGAUCGGAGGUUUCUGUAGAUACUCUUUUAUCUUCUCGAAAGCCCUUUGACAAUCUUCAUUCCACCUGAUAGCCUGAUCUUUCCUCAGCAAUUUGAAAAUUGGCUCACACGUGGUUGUUAGGUGAGAGAUGAACCUUGCAAUGUAGUUCAACCUCCCUAAGAAACUACGGACUUGCUUCUCUGUUCUUGGCUCUGGCAUUUCCUGUAUCGCUUUUACUUUGUCGGGAUCCACCUCAAUCCCUUUUCCGCUAACAAUAAAACCCAGCAAUUUUCCCGAUCUCACCCCGAAAGUGCACUUGUUCGGAUUAAGUCUCAGUUUGAAUUUCCUCAAACGCUCAAACAGUUUCUGCAAAUUCACCAAAUGUUCUUCUUCUGUCUGAGAUUUGGCAAUCAUAUCGUCCACAUAAACCUCGAUUUCAUGAUGAAUCAUAUCAUGGAACAGAGUCACCAUAGCUCGUUGAUAUGUUGCUCCGGCAUUUUUCAGACCAAACGGCAUCACCUUGUAGCAGAAGGUGCCCCAUGGGGUUAUGAAAGUUGUCUUUUCCAUGUCUUCUGGUGCCAUCUUGAUUUGGUUAUAGCCAGAAAAGCCAUCCAUGAAGGAGAAUACCGAGAACUGAGCUGUAUUAUCCACCAAAACGUCGAUGUGAGGUAAUGGGAAAUCAUCUUUAGGGCUAGCUCUGUUCAGAUCCCGGUAGUCGACACACAUCCGUACCUUUCCAUCCUUCUUAGGUACUGGGACGAUGUUUGCAACCCAUGGCGGAUAAUUGGUGACUGCUAGAAACCCUGCAUCCAACUGCUUUUGCACUUCUUCCUUUAUCUUGACAGCCAUCUCUGGUCUUGUUCUUCUGAGCUUCUGCUUGACCGGAGGACAACCUUCUUUGAGAGGCAAGCGGUGUACCACGAUGUCUGUGUCCAGCCCAGGCAUGUCCUGAUAAGACCAGGCGAAGAUGUCAACGUAUUCUUGCAGCAAUUCAAUCAGCCCUUUCUUCACAUUAUCUUCCAAAGCAGCCCCUAUCUUGAUUUCUCUCUUGGCGUCCUCGGUGCCGAGAUUAAUCACUUCAACAGACUCUUGAUGCGGUUGAAUAACCCUUUCCUCUUGUUUUAAUAACCUGGUAAGUUCUUCAGGGAGUUCACAGUCUUCAUCACCCUCUUCUUCAGCUUGAAAGAUUGGAUUUUCAAAGUCGAAGCGAGCCAUAGCAGAACCGUUAUCAAUAGGAUCCGGUGAUGUGCAUCUGCAUGAGUGAUGGUAUGUGCUUAUGAGUGUGAACAAGAAGUGAAAACUAAACAAAACAUUGCCUUUUUUUUAUUUUGAAAAACUGCAAAAAUAGAAAGACAGGGAACGAAAUAUUUGAAUGCAAAAAUACGUCCUUUAUUUAUGAUAAAAAUGCAAGUGUCACAUAGAUGGGCCCUACAAUGAGUCAUUACGCCCUGGGCGGAACGUAAGACUUGGAUAUGCAUGAAUAAACAAAGAAAAUUACUCUUCAAGAAGAGUGACUUGGAUAAUCUCUUCAGAAGACCAAUUGUUGAUGACUUCACCCGGGAUCCUCGGACGCACCCAGUUGUCGAUGUCACAAUCACUAUCCCCAUCUUCUUCGUUGACUGCAGAGACUUGACCAUACUGAAUGAUGCCAGCACUGGAGAAAGUGAUCGGCCCCUGAAGUGUUGUAGAAGUCAAAACUGGCUGAUACCCAAUCCCGAACUUAUCUUCUUUCACUGGUAAUUCCAACAGACGCCCCCAACCGGGAGCAACACCUGAAUCCACCACGGCCCGUGCCUGCUUAAAGGAUGAGAUAGAGGCACCCGCUUUAACCUCUUCCACCGGAGUUGCAUCCUUGAUUUGAACUGACUCAAAAGCCUGACACAGAGUCUCAUGAAUUUCACCUUCUACUUCUACAUACUUGAAUGUAGACAGGUUACUGACCAGGAUGUCCUCCUCACCACAGACGGUGAUAAUUCGUCCGUUGACCGGAAACUUAAUCUUCUGAUGUAGAGUUGAAGAGACUGCCCCAGCAUUAUGGAUCCAAGGACGACCCAGCAGGCAACUGUAGGAAGGACUGAUAUCCAUCACGUAGAAGACAGUGUUGAAGGUUUGUGAUCCAAUCAGAAUUGGCAAUUCUACCUCUCCAAACACCGAUCUCUUAGAACCAUCGAAGGCUCUCACAAUAAGAUCUGAAGGUUUCAAGACCAAACCCUCUACUUCUAACCUCGACAGGGCUCUCUUGGGUAGCACAUUGAGAGAGGAGCCUGUAUCCACCAGAACAUGCGAUAGCACGGUGUCUCUGCAUUCCAUCGAGAUGUGCAGAGCCUUGUUAUGAUUGCGUCCGGCUGGUGUCAAGUCAGAAUCGGUAAAACCCAACCCGUUGCUUGCAUGCACAUUGGCGACGAUCCCUUCUAGUUGGUUUACCGAGAUUUCUUGAGGUACAUAUGCAACAUUAAGAACCUUCAGAAGUGCCUCCCUGUGUGCCUCCGAACACAACAGGAGUGAGAGAAUGGAUAUCUUGGACGGAGUCUGAAUCAACUGAUCGACUACCUUGUAGUCGCUUUUCUUUAUGAUUCUCAGAAGCUCGUCCACAUCCUUUGCAAAAGUGGGCUCAGAACCAUCUUGGGGUGCAGAGGUACCCUCAUUCACGACUUGCUUGCCUUUGGUUUUCGCCACAGCAUCAGCAUUAUCAGCUUGGGUAACCGGUGGUGAGAACAAUCUACCACUCCUGGUGAAUCGGCCGAUUCCACCGACAUUAUCCACUGCGGGACCGUCAAGUUCAGGCUUCUGACCCUCUUCUACUUUCAGUGGCCGUUCCACCUUAUGAUCGUGCGUAUACACGCUCCCCCCAUAAUGCCACGGAAUGGCCCUUUCACUGGUGAAAGGUAAAGGACCAGGGGUUGUGAUGGUCAUAGUAGAUCGUCGCACUGGUGGCACGGGUUGCGCUUCUGGCACACUGAUCUGAUUAGUUGGGUAGAAAAUAGUGAUAGUAGCAAUAUCACAGUCGUACUCGGAAAUCUCAUUCAUUGAAAUGCAAGCAUCCGAAACAUCGGAAUCAAGUUCAAUUACAUCAGGAUCAACCACAUUGGAAAAAAUAAAUACAUCAUCAUGGAUUACAGAAUCAGUAGGAACAACAUCUGCGAAUUCAUCAGUAGCAUCUUCAAACCCUUCUUCCUCAACCCCUUCCACAGACUCUUGGACAGACAAAUCUUCAACCUGGAGGAUACCUUUGUCGAGCAAGGCCUGGAUACCCUGCUGUAGCUUCAAACAACCUCCACUCUGAGUGGCACAAUCCAAACAACCCUUCCCACAAUCGGGGAAAACAUCGGCCUUCAGCAAUCAUCCUUUGAUAUCCAACAAUGGAGUCUUCAACUUCAACACAUCCUUAAUGGACUUGGCUUUUCCUUCCAUCAUAUUAAUGUUUGCACUACCAUGUUGCGGCAUGGGAUUGUUGACGACAUUAGGAGCCGGUGCAAGGUUGAUGGCUUUUGAAUCUAUGAGGUCCUGAACUACGUGCUUAAAAGCUUUGCAAUUCUCAAUGUUAUGGCCAAGUGCCCUAGAGUGGAAGCUACACCUAGCGUUAGCGUCGUAACCCACCGGAAGUCUACCAACAGGAGGAGCCAGAGUGAGCAAUUGUAUAAGUUGUAGUUGUUGAAGACUAGAAAGCAACUGAGCGUACGACAUUGGAAGGGUGUCGAAACGCCGGUCCAUCAUCCUUUGCCUCUGUUGAUAAGCGGGUCUGUUACCCGGUUGCUGCUGCUGUCGAUACUGAGCUGGUUGACGUUAUGAUUGUUGUUGUUGUAGUGGCGCUGCAGCUGGAAUGGUCACAGCCGCCACAUACGGUUGCUGAUGAUAAUUCUGAAAAUUAUUCCUCCGGUUAUCCCUGUUCUGAUAAGAAGAUAUGGAAUUUGCAUCCCCUUCUCUCCUCUUCUGUCCCUGAAUGAACGGCUUCUUCACCCCUGAUGAGGAUCCACCUCUACUCUGGCUCUUAUAGGUCUUUAGGUAAUUCUCCACCCUUUCUCCAGUAGAGACCACAUCAGCAAAGUUGGAAGCAUUGCACCCCACCAGACGCUCCAGAUNUUUUCCUCUACUGAAACUUCAGUAUUUAUAGACUGAUUUUCGUGGGUAGUGGGCUCAAAUGAGGGAGACCCAAGUCCAAAAAAAUUUGUUAUAUUUUAUUUAUUUAUUUAAUUAAUUUUAUUUAUUUAUUUAUUUAUUUUUAACUUCUUUUUUUUUUCGUUUUUUUUUUUCAGGAAAAAUGAAGGGUAAAAUUUGGGGUAUUACAGCAAUCUAUGCAUUUCUUCUCCAAAAUGAAUGAAUUUGAGCUCUUUGGAAAGGUGAGAUCAAGAGGAACAAAUUUCAUGUUCAACAUUUUUUUAUUUGGAGCUUGGAACUUGGAGAAAUUUGAGGUGGAAGUUUGGAAAUUUUUGACAUAUCAAAUUUUUUCUAAGUGUCAAGCCAUAUGUCUCAAUAUUCCACCUUGCUUAACUUUUUAUAGGAGCUUUAAAUGAAAACAAUGUCUAAAUAAAAGUUGUAUAUCUCUCAAAUACCUUCAAAAUGGUCACCAAUUUCGUGUCAUUUGGAUUUGAAAUGAUAGAGUUAUUCAUUUUUUAAGUUUGGAAAAAUCACUUGAUCAAUGGUAUAGGUCAAAAGUGACCUAUAAUGUAGCCUCAUAUCACAUGCUCAAAAAAGUUAAAUUAGCUCCCACUCCAAACAUCAAAGUUGAAUUAGAAAUAUUGAUUGUGAAACUUGUAAAUCUUUCAUCUCAUAACAAUUGAGCAAGUUAUGGCCUUGGGAAGUUGACUUUCAAAUUAGGGUUUAGACAAAAUGACCUAUAAUGUUUCAACAUAGAAAAUGAUUUUCUUUAUGGCCUUGGGAAGUUGACUUUCAAAUUAGGGUUUAGACAAAAUGACCUAUAAUGUUUCAACAUAGAAAAUGAUUUUCCAAGAAAAACUAGCUCUAUGUAUCAACAUGAAAGUUGUUUGGAAUGUAAUUUAGAUUAAGUUUUAUCUUGGAAUCAUUUUUCAUAUGGGGAAAAUUGUAAGAGAUAGGGUCUAGGGAGACCCAGUUUUGGUCAGAUGAAUCCAUCUGGCCAACCACCAUCAGCCAACUUGCUAAUUUCCAAUUAUCUUGACUUUCUUGGCUCAUGGUAGAUCAUAUAUGCAUAAGAUGAUUAAUUUUGAAGUGUAACUUGAGAAAUUUGAUCAAUUGGUAAGAUAGCUUAUUGAAGAAGUUACUUAAGAUACCUAGUCGAACUAGGGUUUCCAAGGCAAAUCACCCUCAAACUCUUGAAGAAAACUUGAUCAAUAUAACAUGUAGAUAUCAUUGGGACUAAUAUAUGAUGUUCAUAACCAUUAUUUAAUCAAUUAUUGGUUGUGCUCUUUGUUCAUGAGGGUCUCAAACCCUAGAUGUGAACUUGAUGAAUCAAAUGAGAUAAGUGCCCUACCUACAAAAGAGUUAGGCAAACACAAAGACAUAUUUUUGGUAUUUUAGUUAGUAAAAUGAUAAUAUACAAGUAUGAUAUAAUCACAAAGUGUUUGGUGAUCUCACCCAAAACAAACCCAAUGAAAAAGGGGUAAGGAGGCUGCCAAGGCAUGAUCUCAAUGCUAAUGCUUAUGAUGUAAUUGCAUGAGGGAUCUUAGGGUCAAAAUUAGGGUCUUACAUGGAAGACCUCUUUAUAAACAACAUUUAUUGUUGAUUGCUUGACAUUAUUUUGUUCAUCAUGAACCAAAAUCUUGAUUCCUUUCUUAGAAAUAACCCUUGAAAUUUCCACAUAUAGUUGGUCGUGACUAAAAACAUCUCGAGGCAAGUAUAAACCCACCCAAUCAAGGGAUUGUCCUUAUGAUUUAGUUAUGGUUAUUACAUAUGAGAUAAUAAUUGGGAAUUGUCUUCGAUUCAAUUUAAAUGGCCAUGGAGAUUGUGAUGGUAACAUAUCCAUACGUGGUAUGUAAAUGAUGUUUCCAUGACCUUUACCACCCAUUAUUCUUGCUUCAAGGACAUGGUUCGCCAUCUUAGUCACAAUUAAACGUGUUCCGUUACACAAACCAUCUGAUUGAUCAAGAUUCCUCAUUAGCAUUAUAGGAGUUCCUAUAUUCAAUUUAAUUUGAUGUUCAGGUAAGCCCGAAGUUCUUAGAGUGCUCAGAAAUUUUGGACUUAGUAGUUCUAUAACGUCCAUGUCAUGUAUUUCCAAUAUAUUUAUUGAGUUAGAGAUGUAGUAGUCUUUUGCCUCGCCUAAAAGGAAUUAAAUUAAAUUCGUUAAGAAAAAGAAUACAUUUUAAAGACAUAUGAAUGAAAUUGGUAUAUGAGAUAAUGUACCUAGCAUUAGAGCAAGCACAUGUUCAUUGAUUUUAUCAACAGUUUCAAUUGUUGUUGCUAGAAUAACUCUAUUUUUGAGAUAAUCAUAUGAGUGGUAGUUAUCCAUAAAACUCGGAUAAGUACUCUCCAUAAUUGUUGUAAUUGUAUCAUCAAAACUUGAUAUUAAGAUUUCAGAAGGAAUAUCAAACUCAGUAUAUCCAUCAUUAGGUUCUGAAAGUUUUCCCUCCCUAAUAUUGAGCAACCAUUUUGAAAAUUGUUCAAUUUCAAGACAUUUGGUUGGGUUUGAACCACUUUGAAGUCUCAUAUUUCUUGUAAGUGUAAGCACCUCACAAUUAUUCCAAAUGUAAGAAGCAUUCAAUGAACUGCGUACAAUAUCUGAAUGGGUUCCUCUUGGUACACCAGGAAGAAUUUGUCUAAAAUUACCUCCAAAAACUAUGACUUUACCACCGAAUAUGGAACUGGAAUUAGGACUAUUACCCAUAAUGUCUCUUAGUGUCUUAUCAAGAGCCUCAAAAAAAUGUUUGGGAGCCUCAUCCUAAAUUAUCAACUGUGUUUGUCUCAUCAUUUCUGCAAGAUCAUCCUUUGGUUCUAUGUUGCAAACAUAAUUAUCUAAAGUAGGUACGAGAAUUUUGAACUUGGGAUGGGCCAUUCUCCCUCCAGGGAGCAACAUUGAUGCAAUUCCGCUUGAUGCAACGGUUAUGACAAUUUGAUGUUUUAAUCUCAAAUAACUUGCAAGAGUUUGCCACAUAAAUGUUUUUUCCAUUCCCCCAUACCCAUGCAGGAAGAAAACACCACCUUUUUAUUCUGUGACAACAUUGAUGAUUUUAUUUAAAAUAAUGUUUUGUUCACCUAAAAAUAUUGGAAUACAAUUAAUAAUUAUGGUGAAUUAAAUGGCAAGUAUUAUCUUGAAAGAAACAUGUAGUUUCAAUGGCAUUGAUGCAGUACUGGAAGUUUAAAACAUUAAAAGCCAAUAAUGAGAAUAAGUUGUAGUAAUAUUAGUUAGAAUUAACAAUUGUAUAGAAACAAUACCGCUAUAAAUAUAAUUGUAAUAUUCUCAUUACUUGUUAGUGAUGCAAACAAUUGUAGGUAUAUAAUAGAGAAUGUAAAAUAAUUGGAAAAAAUAUGAUGGGAAGUAACAUAUAAAUACGGUUCAGAUAUGGAAAUUUCAUGUAACAACCUGUAAGUGAUGCAAACAUAUUUGCAAAUUCCAUUUUAAGUUCAGCUACAUCGUAAUUUUGUUCGUCGCAAAUCAACUGAUUACCAAGUUGUUCCAAAACAUAUCCAUUCGGAUAUGGAAUCAGACGGAAAUCCUUCAAAGUACGUUGAUUUGUUUGCGAUAUCUUUUCAACUUCAAGUAAUGUCAAAUUUUGAAGUUCUUCGUCAUUUAAUAUAAGUCCUACAAUAAGAACAUAGUUUUGCAUUAGAAGUUGUUUUUCAUAAUCUAUAUACUCAUACGUCGACGUAAUUAAAAGUUCAAUGAUGCAAUGUAGGUAAAAUUUUGUACCUGAAUUGCAAGACAAAAUAUGUUGUUCAUGCAAAAUACCAUCUGAUAGCCAUGUCCAGGUAUUAUUCCAAACAUGACAUGGUCUGUUCAUUGUACCGAACAAUAACAUAAUGAUAAAUAAUUUUCUCAAAAAUCUUUCUGACCCCCAUUCACUUGCUUCCUUUAUAGCCAAAAUAAAUUCCUUGUCAUCCUCAAGGAACCCCAUUGCGAAGCACGCAUGUCUGAAGGUAAAGUAUUAUGUACCACCGACUUUACGAAUGUCCUCGUAAGUUGUUGGUCCUUUAACAACUGUUAGCAUCAUUCUUAAAAAGAAUAAUUCCACUGUUGUAGGUGGAACCCAUAUUAACCUGGAAAUAGUAAAACCUUUUUUACUUGGUUUCCAACUUCUAGUUAUCUUAUCAUAAACAAACUUUGAUAUAAACUGGGUAUAUGUGAGGGUUGUAGCAUCUUCAAACUUUUCAUUGGCAAUCAUCCAUGCUGUAAACAUCGACUCAGUUACACUUGCUUUUUCAAGGACAUCUUCCAUUGUGGCAUGCUCCGUAAAAAAAUAGUCUUCUCUCCAAUCAGAUGGUAAAAUAUACGUUCCACGACAGGUUUUCAUGCAUGAAUCUUGAAAGAGAAAAUCCUCCAACAUGCACCACUUGGUGAUACGUAACGUCAAUCAAGAUAUUGUUGAAUUUCAUCAAUAGCCCCACCCGAUGUAGAAUUUCCUCCCUUGGCUUGAACAAUAGAAACAACAAUUCUAUCAAAACCCUUAUGAAUAUAUUUAAAUAAGUACUUAAUGGUUGAACACUGAUUUCAUCAUUCCAUAUUUAUGUGUCCUUGAAACUUCAACAACAACCUUUUAUUGUACGGCAUGACAUGUCUGUUAUCUUGAGAAAUUUCGUUUUUGACAAUUUUGUGGGUGUUUGACCGUCUUCUAUAUUGAGGGAAACCAUAUGAGUCAACGACUGUGGUUUCAAUGAACUUUUUUGGAUAGAAUUUUGAACAUUUUCUGUUUUUCAUGCAUGGUGAUGAUAAUCUAACCAACCCGCAUGGGCCAUGCAUCAUAUGUUGCUUCACUAUUUUAUAUAGUCGUGGAUGUAAAUCGGGGUUAGGAAUUUUACAUGAAAUGAAUUUGUCAAUAUCAGUAGGGUUCAGAUACUUACUUUGAGGGUGAAGGAAAAUGAGAAUAUAGGCAUGUGACAGGCCUCUUUUUUGAAACUCAAUUGUAUAUAUAACUGUUAUGAAAUGUAUGAAUAUGAUUAGUGAAGGUGGAAUAUUAAAACAUCAAAAAAAAAUGUAUAUGUGCAUUUAAAAUAUGGCAGUUUGUAUGAUACAAAUUUCAAAGUUAUUUAAUGGAAAAUGCAUAGUGUUACCAUAACAUUUCUAAAGUAUGUUGUCAUACUGAAGCAAUACUACAUGAGUACUAUAAAUUGACAAAAUUUUAAAAUAAUGUUUAUAUUAUAAAGUGAACAUGCAAUAGAAAAAGUUAAAAACAGUAUAAUAAUAUAAGUGUUUUCGUAUGCAUUAAUCAUUAUAGUAAUUGCAUAGUUGCAAUAUUGAAAAAUUAUGUGAAAUAUAGUUGUGGUAAUAGUGUGAAUGUUCAUAUACUAAUAAUGCAAACAAAAGAUUUUGGAACAUUGAAACCAGUUAGAAAAUUACUCACAUGCUAACACCCGGCCAAGUAUAUGUCCGCGUGUGAUAUAAACCAUCAAUUCAUCAAAUUUGAUUUUGAACACUCUCGAUAUAAUAUCAAGACGAUCAUGAGGUUUUAAUUUGUAUUUUACACACUCUCUUGUGAUUUCAGGCCAAUUGGGAUUAAAUGUGAAUGUAAAAACAAAUCAGGGAACCCAACUAUACUUCAACUAGCCAUACCAUCAAAAUAAAGUUGAUCCAUAUAUCGGUUGCUUCCAAUAAAUGAUGAAGGAAGAACAACUCUUUUUUCAUUUUUGGUAUGUCUGCUUUGACUGGGGUUUAUGUCAUUUUCUUUAAGUUUGUUAUAUUUCCCAACCCUCAAUUUAGAUUGAUUUUUCCUUAGCCAAUUAAGUCUCUCGGUUUCCAUCAUUGUGUAUCCAUCAACCAAAAAUUGAUGAAAUAGUCUUCGUGAUGACAAAAUUGUUGUAGCUUCACUUUUUCUUUGUUGAAAUCUAAAUGAAAGCCAUUCCAUAAUAGUUUGAUGGUUUCUUUUUGUCACGAAAAUUUCACCUUGGUAUGCAUGGAGAAUAUUAUCUCUGUAUCCAUCCUCACCAAAUGGAAAUAGCAAUGGAUAUUGAAAAGCAAGGUAGCAGGAUGAAACUCAUCAAUUAUUUGUAAAUUACCUCCACGUGCCUGAAUGAUGAUAUCUCGUUUGGUACCUGAAUCUAUGUCACCAACAAAAAAGGUUGCAACUUCAAAAAUUAUGGGUUUAUUAUAAAGGUGACCAUCCGUUAGACGAUCAGAAACUAUUCUCAAUUUCAAAUCGUUAACAUUCUGAUGUUGUAGCAUAUCACGUGCCAUCCUAAAAGCCUUUGCAUGAAUAUUUUGUUGUCCAACAUGAGACUCAAAUUUGUUACAAUUUCCCUGUCAAUAUGUUUGUUAUCCCUAUAUAAGAAUUAAUAAAUUGAUUUAGUAUGAUACAUAAUGAGAUCAAUAAAUGCCAUUGUAAAAAUUAUGUUGUUAACGUAUGUACUUGAAACAUUCCAUUCGGUUUUGAAUUUCCUUAUCAGUGUCGAAUAUAUACAAUUGUGCAUAUUUUGGUGGUUAACCUAUCUCUGAAAGCAUCGUCCAUAUUCUAUGGUAGGUCUGUGCAUGAAGUCUUAGUGUUAGGGGACCAUAAUAUUUUGUAAACUUGGUGUCAAAUUUCAUACCAGGUGAAGUGAAAGAGCACAUAGCAUUAUAAGUCAUUGUGUUGGCUUGAUCAUUCUUUGCAGGAGUUGAUGCAGGGUCGAAAAGUAGUUUUUGAAGAAUGACGUGUGGGUCACCAAUCAAUGGUAGUUUAACCUUUCCUCCAUGACAACAACAUUCAAAUUUAGGUAACAUCGUAUUCCUUGAUUUACUCAUGCGUUCACCAUACCACAUGCAAGCAAGACAAUAUUGGCAUUCCCAAACAGGAUCUCUAAUAUCAAAGAAUUAUGUGUUACCAUGAAAUGUUUAAAAAUUAUUGCAUAUACAUGAAAUUGAUAACUUCUAAAACUAUCUAUUGUACAAAAUGGUGUAUAAAAUGGUAUUGAAAUUUGAAGUAAUGGAAAACCUUGAAGAUGGUCAUCAACCAAAUAAUCAUCGUCAAUAUCCAUAUCACUGUCAGAACUGCCAUUUGAAGAAAUGUUUGACCCCAUAUCCGAGUCAUUUUCAUGGACAUAGGAAUUGGUUGAAUGGUUACUAUUAUGUUAUGGAAUAGUUUGAUUGAGUACGGAGUUGUUUAUAUAAGAUGUUUCAUGUGUAGUUGUUUGAGGAAGUGUAAGAGCGGAAUUAGAUGUUUCAACAGUGGUUGCUUCAAACUGCCUAAAUAGAUUAACUCCAAAAGGUCUAACAAAUGAGUUGGUUGUAGACCUACAAUGAUGUUUUGAAUGUUGAGUGCUAAUAAAAUUAGAAAUUGAACCAUGAAGUGGUGUUGUGUUUGAUAUUCCUACUGCUUGAUUUAUAUGUGGCUUGGAAAUUGCAUGGGGAUGGAUAUUUUAUUUUUCUGAAGAACUUGAAUGGAGUUUUCUAUUCAUUAAUGUCCAUUUUCAUUUUUUUCUAGCAGCAAAGACAAUAUUGUUGCUCGUAUCCAUGGUGUUUUAGUGAAAUAAAAACAAAAUGAACAUAACAAAAGUUAUAUGCUACUGGGUUUUUUGUAUAAUAUACAGUGAAAAAAAUAAUGGGACGACAAUGGCAUGAAAAAAAUGGCGCACAAAGUUCCCUCCCAAUCUCAAAUCAUCAAGCUAAUAGAAAUGAAGAUGACAAAAGCUGUGUACGACUUACUUUGUAUUUUAAUAUGAUAUACAUGUUAAUGCAAAUAAAUGAAUAUAUAUUAUUAAAAUUAGAAAACGGUUGAACAACAAAAGUGUGUGUGUACUUGUGUCAUGGUAGGCAAAUUCUUAAGUAAUUUAAAAUAUAAAUUGUUAUCUUUGGAUGUUCAGUAUGUUUUUCAAUGUUCCAUAUUAAACUAUUAUUUCUAAAAGAAAUUGUCUCAUCUAACAUGUCAAAUCAACGAUUAGUAUUGCUUCUGAUAUUACAAAUAUAUUCAACACAAUAAAGUUGCUUGUAACUUUCCUUUUGUUCUUUACGUAUACCACGUAUGUUCGUCACAAUAGAUUACCGUCGUUUUUUGUACGUUACCGCACCUACUCCCUCAUUCAGACCUUAUCAAACAUGCAAUAUUUUUCAGUUGUUUUUUCCACUUUUUGGAUUAGAUUUUAUGCAGAGCUACUAUAUGUUUAUUUGGGUAAGCAACCAAAACUUUAUUUCAAUAGGUUCUGCUAAAUUUUGUAUGAUUGUGCUAGUGCACGCGCAAUUGUAAAAUAUGAAAUUGUUUCUUGACGUUAAACUACUGUUGUUCCUAGUAUAAUCAUCCUAAAUAUACAUAACAAUGGCCACAAUCAUACUAUAGAUAUACUCAUAUAAGUAAUAAUCAAACAAAACAUAACUAAUAGGUAGGGGUGUUCGCGGUGCGAUUUGGGCGGUUUUGGCGAUAAAAAUCAUCCGAACCGCAAGAGAAAAAAGCAUGCGGUGUGGUUUGGUUCGGUUGGCUAAUAGAUAAGACCAAACCAAACCAAUGUCGGGUUUGGGUUGUUCGGUUGGUUCGGUUUUUAUAAUUAUUUUUUUUUGUGCCAUACAUACACCUAUAGAGAACAAAUAACUUUGUAUUUAGUCCAUUCAUAACAUGACUAAUACAUCAAAACUCAUCAUAUUUAGCAAAAUGUUCAUUUCAAUAUGACAAAAAAUUAGAUUAGACAAAAAUGGAUAAAAAAACAUAUAUAAAUAUAGUAUAAAAUAAUAUCGAAGACAUUAUAAUAAAAAAUACAAAAAUAUGAGAUGAGAGAUUAGAGAAGAUGAAAAAAAGAACAUAAGAUGCGAGAUUGAGAAGAAAGGUGCGAUACAAAUAUAUUAAAAGAGAAAAUAGUAACAUAAAGAUGAAAAUAAAGAACUAAGAGAUGACUUAUUAGAGUAGAAUAGGAAACCUACAUGGAAAAGAAGACAGAGAAUGUGUUGAUACUACUAUGAAGAUUUAAGGUUGAAAUUGAAACCCUAAGCAUGAGUAAGAGAAAAUCGUUUGUAAUUGUAAGGUUAAGCAUACUAGGUUGAUGUUUUGUUGGAUUGUGGGAUAAGAAAAUUAAUGUUGUAACAUAAUGCGGUUUGGUUUGUUUAGUUCGUUUGCAAAAUAAAACCGCAAAACAAACAAACCGUGCGGUUUUAUUAAAAAAUGACCCAACCGAAUCCGAACCAAAUGCGGUUUUUUGCGGUUUCGGUUUGGUUUGGUUUGGUUUGCGGUUUUCUAUUGGGCUGGUUUGGUUUUGAACACCCCUACUAACAGGUGUUAUAACCAAACUUUAAUAUAUAACCACAUAGUCAUGUUACUUCUACAUUACUAAUUAAAUGACACAUGAUGGAGGGAAUACAACGUCCUCAACAAAAAAACAUCCAUGAAAAUGCCAACAUUCAUAUUACAUUAUCCAAAAUACUAACCAUAUAGGGGUUCAUAGUACAUAUCUCACUUACAAUUUGCACAAAUACUAUUCAUUAGCUGCUACACAAACUAAACUUAUUAUUAGACAACCAACUUAGAACUUCAUGCAGCGACUUCACACCAUCACCUUUGACCUUACGCUCAAUCUAAAAACUAAGUUCACAAGUUCAACACGCUAACAACUAUUCUUCGUGCUGGUGGGUGGUGAAUGCUGAAUCCCACGAUGUCACCUUUUUUUAGGCCUUUCUUCUUGGCAUACUCGUACCAACCACGCCCAAUAAACAUUUCAACAUAAUAUUUCCUUUCUGAAGUAUGGACUUUACAAUCAUAGGUCUCCAUAGUAUCAACACCCACCAGUUCUGUGCUCCUUAGUCCAGUUAAGAAACAUUUCUUAAUCACAGAUUGGGGAAUUUUCUACAUAAUAACAUAAAUUCUUCCACACAUAUGUAUAUUCAUAUGUUUACAUAGAUAUAUCAUAGUACAAACAACUUUAUAUAUUACUAUUUAUGGAUACUAUAAUUUAACUUACAAGUACGUUUCUUUAAACAACCUUUUCAUCUUUGAUUUCCUUCUUCCAAACUACAAACCUAGGCUGGUUAGAAAGGUCUUCAUCACUAGACUCAUCACCAGUUAUGUUUUCAUCAAAACUGCAUUUACAAAAUAACCAUGAAAUGUCUUCUAACAUGUAUUGCCCCACUAUAUACAAAUAACCCCUUACAUUAUUAUACUUAGAACGCUUUAAUGUUUUUCUAAUAUUUAUUCACAUAAUGAAUUUCCUAAAAAUGAUAAAUCUUAGUAUCAAGAUAUUAUCAUAUCAAAUGAUAAUUCAAAGGAUGAUACUAAACACCUUUUACAUUGAUAAUACAUCUAAUCAAAUGAUACAUAAGCAAAGGAUAAUUUUUCAAUAUACACGUAAACUAACUUUUAUGUAUUAAUAAGGCUUCAACAGUUACAUGACACUACCACAUGAAUUCGAUAUAUGCGAUGGUGCCGCAUAAGUUGUAAUUCUGCCAAUCUUACCAUCAACAUUCUUUACCUUACCCUCUUCUUCACCGAAAUCAACUUGUUUUCCCUUCAGAUUCAUUGCUUCACCUUAGUUAAAUCCUUGCAUGAAACCCUUCAAAUUUACAUGUUCACCACCUAUUAUGUUUUCAACUUCAGCAACAUGUUUUCCUUUUGGCCCAUCUACAAGAUUUGAUGAUGAUCUCACAAUUGGUAAUACAGUAUUCCUAUCAUUGACGCUGCGACUGUUACAAAGCUCUUCAAAUUGGAUACCUCAUUCAACCUUCUUCUUCUCCAUGCCGAUUCAUUUUCAAUUUGAGAAAUGGAACUGCAAAAACCAUAUAUAACACAUACAUAAAUAGAUAAACAGUUAAACUAAAUGAUUAUGAACAUGCAAAUGAAAAAUCCCAAACCUCCCCUUUAACAUCUCAAAAGACGAAACUUUCUUCCCCGUAGACAUUGAAACCCUGCAGAGAAAGCAUGAAGUUUUUUCCUAAUCCUACUGUGACAAGGAGUUAUGCUUUUACACUUUUUCCCUACACGAUACCCAAGACUUUAUAUAUUAAACUUAUAUACUCACACUUUUCAUCUAGGUAACCCUACAUGCAGAUUUGGUAAUGGUUCCGUGUAGAGGUAAAGAAUAUUAGUAGUAUUAAGUAGAGUAUUGACACUUUAGUUGCAUGCACAGGUACACCUGCUACUAGCCAGACAAUGACAGUUUUUUAGGCAGUCAUAAUACUAAAAUUACAACUCCCCAAGCUUUUGUGUAGAUGUAUAACUCCCCUUUAGCAUGUAAAUAUAUAUGUAAUUUACCAAAAGCUGCUUUUCACCAUAAUGCAGUGUAGGAAAGUUACUUUAAUUACUUUGUAACUAUUGUUCUAUUUUAAACUUACUGAUGUGUGAAAAUGCUUUGGAAAUAGAAAAUUUUCAUGACCCUACAAUUUUUGUAAGGACAUUAAUUACAAAGUAGAAUUGUAGAAAAGUAGGAUUCCUAUAUAUCAUGAUUUUAAAACUUGGUAGGAUCAACUCAUGGAGCACCAAUAUUAUGAUUUUCACUUUUGACAACGUAGAUAAUGAGUCAUAUUGUUGGUAACCAGAAUGGUUUGAAGAUUAACAUAUAUGUGAAAUUAUGAGGACGAGAAGAAGUACACAUGCAACAUGUAUUUAGAUAUCUGAAAAAUUAUUAUUAAGAUAUUUGGGUGUGGAUAUUUGUAAGAGUGUGUUGAAAUAUAUUUAAUAAAUGUGAUCACUUCAGAAAUUAAUAUAAAACUCGACUUCAUUAGGGCAAUAGUAUAAGGAUCUAAUCUUCAUACAUAAUACAUCCAAAUUGUAUAUUACAAAAGACAUAAUUUCCACAAAAUAUGAAUUAACACACAUAGACAUUGAAUAUCAUAGGGACAUCAUAACAUUAGUUAUUUCUUCUCCAUAUUCACAUGCUUGCGACGUAGCCUAGUUGUCGAUUGUUCUCAUUUAACAAGUUCUUUCAUAGUGGCAGAAUAGCUUGCAGCAUGGACUGCAACCCUUUUCCCAGAAUUGAUUAGAGUAACUGGUGGUGUUGUUAUUGCCUUAACUAUUUCAUUGAUUGGAUUUACUGGUGGUGAUGUUGUUGCCUUGGCUUUUUCAGGGGUUGUAUAGUUUUAAACAUAAUUAAAGAUAAAUAUUAAUGAUCCACAUAAUAUAUAAAUCACCGGGUAUAUAUAUAUAUUAUAUAUAUUAAUAUACUAUAUUUAUACUAUAUUGACAUGUCAUAGCAAAUUAUUGUUAAAGAUGUGAAUUCAACCAUGAUUGCAGAUGGAUCAAAAGGUAAAAGUUGUGAAUUCAAUUUAGAGGUGAUUUCCAAAUCCUACAAAAUAACACAUUAAUUCCGUAAAGGUUUUUGUGUAUAAACAUAUAAAUACAGAAGUGCAUAUUAAGAUUAUGACGUUGUUGUUACAUUUAUGAUAUUUCAUUCCUCAACCAAUAUUGCUUCAUCAAUACUUUCCCUUAUCUAAAAACAUAGAAAUGUCAUGAGUUUUACAUAAUAGGGGAUGGAAAAUACGGAAACAACAAAGAGUUUGUACCAAGAUAAUGAAAUACCUUUUUAACUUGAUCAUCAAAGAGUUUAACUUCAAUGGUAGUAGGCUGAUGUAAAAAAAGAAAUUGGUUUAUAUUUGAAAUAGGCCGAACUAUAAUAAAAGCAACAUAUAAGAAUUUGUGAAAUACCUUAAAAAAAUUCCAUUGCGCUAAUAAUUCAUCAAUAGUUUCUUUGUCUCGUACGACCGCCAUGACACUUGCAAUUUUCCACCUUGGUUGCCAUUUAACUUUGAAUGCAAAUUCAUGCCCAAUUAAAUCAUCAAGGACCAAUGGAAAUUCAAGUGGGUCGCUAAUACCAUCAUAGUUUAAAUGAAAAUAAUAUAAAUAUAUACUGGAUAUGUAAUUAAUUGAAAAAUCAAAAGAUCAGAAUCAUUUAAGCAAACCUGGAACAUUGUUUGGCGGAGCUGAGAGGCGGAUAUUUCCAACAAUUCAUUACACCCACGAUCCCAAAACACAAAAAUGGUUGAAAUUCCAUUAUCAACAACUUCAACCUUGAUUUUGUACCUAUAAUGUUACAACCUAUCAUUUCAUACUUGCAUCAACCAUCAUAUGAAUUUGAUGUACUGAAAAGGAAAUACCUAUAAAUUUUGGUCUCGGUUGAAUGUCCAUCAGAACAUGUAUAUGGGGGAGAGGCUCCCUUAGCUACUCUUGGACAUUUACAACAUGCCAAGUAGUACCAACCAUUUCCAGUUGAUUUCAGUUUAUUUGUGGUUGCUACGGUAAUACACCAUGACAACUGGUUCAUGUGAUAUAAAUGAGUUAAUGGUAGAAAAUAAUAAUAACUAUGGAAGUAUUUUAAAUUUAAAACAGAAACAUUAAAAAACAUACAUCGGGAAGGUUUAUUAUAUCUCGCUGACAGAGAGGCGUAGAAUUUGACAUGAACUUAUCAUGUGAAGUCAUUUGAGAGCCAGAUGAGUUUUGUGACCACAAGUUAGAUUAUGUAGACAUAAGUUGACUUGAACUUCCAAUGUUGAUGUCCUUUAGCAGCCUUUUAAACCAAACAAUAGAAUUUUCAUGUUGCUGUCCAUUGAUAGCCUUUUAAACCAAAAAAACAUAAUAAAAUAUAUCCAAUAAAGCGGAUACAUAUAAAACAUUACCUAUUUUAAAAUUCAACUAUAUUCGGGACGUCUUCGUUAAUGAGCAGAUUCGUUAUGUUGUAGGUGUUCAAUACUGAAAACGGAUACUUUCCUAUUUGAAAAUAAACAUUUAUAAGUAAGAAUGACAUAAUGUUAUUUGAUUUAAUGUUAUUAACUCAAUAAGAAGAAGAAAGAUACCUUCGGCUUUAACUUUUGCAUAUUGUAACAAUAUGAUUGACGGACCACCGUCGUUGUUCAUUUGAAUGUAGUUCAUGAAUUUCACAGCAUAUGUCUCCCAAAGAGUACAGUUCAAUGUGUCAUUGCUUCACAUUUUAAAAGAUUACUUUAACAAAUUAUAUAGUACCAUAAGAAUAACAGUUAAAGUCGAAAUAUAAAAAUUGUCAUAAAAAUGAAUUAAAAUCGAGAACAUUUACACAAGGUCUUUCAAAAUUAGGUUCACUUGUUGCUUCUUGCUGCCAACACUCAUUUGUCUAUACCCAAUCUCUUAUACCAGUCCAAUAACAUCUAACGAUAAAGAAAUUAUUAAUCAACAACAUAUAUGGAGCAUCCAUAGUGAUCAUAUUAAUAUAAGCUACAAGUUAAAGCUGAAAAGAAAAACCAUAAAGUCUUACCUACUAAUAAAUCACUCUUCCAGUUCCUAGAAAUAGUCUCAGCAAACGGCUUGAAGUUCAACCUUUUACCAGGUAUUUCAUGCUUGUUUAUAUCAGAGACACGAGUACCAGGUGUAAAUCUUAUAACAUAAGGAUGUUCUGAGGUUUUGAACAUGCGAUCAUUAAUUCGAGGUAGGAAAUUCAUCACAGUAUAAGUGUUGUUAACCAAUAAAACUGAAUCAAAUGUUGCUUUCAAAUUUAUUGGUACUAUAACAUGAACAUUUGUGCCCUACAAAUAAAUUCGAAACAUUAGUUUCAUUUAGGUCAUUACCAAAAGAUAGUUAAAUCGAAAUACCCAUGUUACACAUACGUCUGCAUCAACAAAUAUAAGCUCAAUGUGCUCUUUAUCGUUAGAAAUUACAAUCCAUUUGUGGUGUACUUUUACUGCAACUUUCCAUAACUCUUUUGUCUAAUUAAUAUCAUCUAUUUUCUCAAAUGUCCUUGCCAUUAGUUUCAACCUUCAUUUUUCAUCCUGAUCAUUAGCUUCAGAAAUACAACCUCAAGUUAAACACUUAGUAUCAUAUACUACAAAACAAUGACAUCAGCAAAUUAAACACAACAUAUUAAGCUUUUCUGUAGAAAACAAUAUAUUUCAUACAUAAUACAACAAUAAAAUCAGCAAGAUUUUUAGUUUCAUAUACUUCAAAACAAUGAAAUCUAAAAAUAAAUAUACGAAGUUCAUGAAAGACAUUUCGUAAAUCAUACUUAAAGCAUGUUGACAAAAAAAACAGUAGACCAACUAUUUCAGAUGAAGAAGAAAACACAUAUGGUGGUUCAAAGUCCAUCAUGUUAAAGCAUGGUCAAUACUUUUUACAUUUACUUACCUUCGAAAUCGCGGAUUCAGGUGAAGAGAGACAAGAAAGGGACGAUAGAGAAGAUUCCAAUGAGAGAGACUACUGGAAAAAGUUGUUGUUGCAACAAUACCAAUGCCGGAGGGGAGAGAGGGAGAGAGAGAGAGAGAGAGAGAGAGAGAGAAAGAGAGGGGGGCAGUGAAUAUGAAUUCAUCAAUACAUUUUCAUUUGAGAGAGAGAGAGAGAGAAUAAGAUCAUUGGUAGUAGUGAUAGAUAUUUUGCAUUGGAACCCGCAAUCAGUUAACAAUAUACAAUUUAUCUAGUUGGUUUGAAACAAUAUAUUCAUAACAGCAUAAUAUAUGUGUACAAUUUCAAACUAAUUGCUAAUAAUUAUGUUAUUAUAUCAUUAGAAAAGGUUAUUUGGUUAGAUAAAGCAUUAUUUAAAUAUGAAAUGCCCCUAAUUCGAUGCAGUGGCAUUUUUGUAGGUAAGGGCGUAAAUAUUGAGUAAUAAAAUAUAUAUUGUUAUUUUAUCCAGUUUUUUUAAACGAUAGUUUUAAGUGGUCAUCACUCAGCAGUUCUCCUCCUUUCUACCAAGCCAGAGGAUAAUUAUACUCAUAAUGUUUCAAGAUAAGAAUUAUAGUAAUCCAUACAUAAACAACAUAAAUCAUAAAACCUACACCUCCAAUCAUUAUUAUAAAUAAAUUUAUUUUUAAAAAAAUAUAUUUAAUAAUUAAUGUAUCUAGUCCUUAUAACGAUUAGAUACAUUAAUGGUUAAAUAUACUAAAAAAGACAAAUUUAUAUAUAAUAAUGAUCAAAAGGUGUAUGUCACUAACAUAAACAAUCAGAUGGCUGAGACGUACCACAACAACCAAGGCUCUAUCAUACUCUUAAAAGCUUUUGCCCUCAUAAAGCUCAUGUCGAGACUGAGGAUAAGUUCAGUGAUACUCUUUUGAACAAAAUGUGAAAUUAUGUUUCCUCAAGGGACAGAUGUUGAACAUGAUGCUCCGACAACAGGUCCGACAAGAUACACCAGAAUCACUACAAUAACAAUUUCUAAAUGAUGGAGCAGAAAAGAAAUAAUCAACAUAGUCAAUUAUUUACCUAGUUUGGUAAAACUACACAUACGUCUGAGAGGCUGAGUCCACAAUCCAAGAUAGAAAAUUCACUAUUAGUAGCUUAGUACAAUUAGGCUUACAAGCAACAACAAACCCUAUGUUGCUCAAUGGAUCUUCCUAACACUAUAUGUCAUACCCCAAAAUUUACACUCUCUUUUCCUACCUUUUUUCUUAGUUUCCUUUGCAUACAUGGAAUCAUAUCAUGCAUCAUCAUAACUUUAACAUGACCAUUGCAUUUGAUCAUUGACUCACAAGCAUGGCCACAUUCUUUGGUUUGAUCUUAACAUUAGGGUUUUUUACUUUGAUUUACUUAUCAACUAACAAAAGCAUCAAUAAGAGAUGGUACUUGUUUGUUUCCUUGCUCAUAUAGGUGAUCAUGCCUCAAUUCAAGACAAAACCAAGGUCAUUUUGGUCAAGAAGGAUGCAAGUGUGGUUCAUUGGUUCAAAGGUGGUUCAUGUUUUUACUUUCACGCCACAUCACUCAAUAUUCAAGCCAUCCUUAAGAUCAUUCAAGCUUUAAUCAAGUUUUCUUCAAGGGGUGCUCAUUCCAUCAUCAAUUUGGCUUGGGAUGCAAGAUAAUUUCAAAUUUGCACAUGUUGGCACAAGUUUGGUUGACCUAAUUUGCAAGUGUUGCUUACUUUUGGUCCAACCCCCAUAACUUCUUCAAUUUUCAACCGAUUGACAAGCUUCUUUAAGCCAAAUGUUUCUAAUGAUUUUCUACAACUUUUCUUCAAGACUCAAGCAUCAAUUCAAUCCCUAAGGACCUCAACUUUGGAAAGGGUUAAGUUGCCAAAAUAGGCCAAAACCUUGUCGUGACCCCCAUUUGGCAUCCAUGCCAUUUCUAGCUCAAGCAUCCAUUUGGCAAACUUCUUUGUGCAUUUUUUAAAGCUCAUAACAAAGAUCAUUUGGCCCAAGUUUGGCUCAAAAUUCACGAGGGAAUCAAAAGUUAUGGUAUCAUGAACUUGGAGCCUCAAGAUGCCUAAGAAACACACCAAGAUUGUCUGACCAAAUGCUUGUCCUAGAAGACAUGUCAUGACCUUAACUUUCAACACUUUCCAUUUUCACCCCAUGCCUCCUUUUGAGUUGGUUCUUUUUGCAUUGGAUUCAUGGCAUUAAAGUGAAUAAAAGGCACAAAGAAAGUCACAAAAUGCACGAGUGGAUUCCAUUUGGCCUAGCUUCAAACAUGGCACUUUGAACUCUAUUUUGCACGAAGCCCAGAUCCUGCAAUUAUAUGUCUUUUCAUUUUGGGACCACUUUCACAUGUGCAACUUACUCGUGACACCAAAAUGCAUGCAAACAAGCUAAAAACGACCACAUUUCAUCAUUAAUUCAUGCUUUUCUCGCCUAUUUUCACACGAGCACCAUUUGAAAAAAUUUCAACCCUAGCUCACACGAUUUGAGAUUUAUUUGGCAUGUGUGAGCUUCCCAUUUCAUUUCCUAUAAAUAGGGGAGUGAUUUUCCUUCAUUUACAAGCUUGAAUAGGCAGAAAAUUCAUGCCUCAUUCAAACUCGAUAUCACUCAAAAACAAGUUUGUGGCUUCUUCGAUUCAAGCUCUUUUAACCUCAAAUCUUCGCCCAUAAAGCUUCAUCGGCAUCAUCUGAAGCUAACUGCAUCAUCACUUUGCCUUGAAACCUCUUGCACCGUACUUCCCAUUUCUGCCAUUGUUGACCUUCGAAGCUUCAACUGAAAAGAUAGUUAUGAGUUAAAUCCUUGAGCAAACAAGUUACCAGUCUUUUUGCAUUGUUCCACUGAUCAAAAUCCAUAUACUACCAUUCAUUUAUCUUUUGUAUUAGUCGUUUAAUUUUACUUUGAACUCUUAGGUUUCUUCGUGUUCUUGAGCAAAAUUCUCCCUACUUAGAGCCAAUCAAUGGCUCUGAUGCAAGGAGACAUGAACGAUGAUGUGUUGCGAAGCUAACUCCAUGUUUGGGUGUUGCUAAAAACACAAGUUCAUGAUUUGCAUAUAUCGAGCUAAAGGUUGAAGACGAAGUUGAACUACGCGUGCUUUGGUGCCAAGAUUCAAAAUCAACCAAUCACAUUGUACUAGCGCAUUUUUUUUAAUUUCUUGAUCGUUGGCGCCUUAAUUCAUUUAUUUUAUUUUUAUUUUAUUUCCUUUCUUUUCCAAUUAAUUUUUACUCAAUUCUAAUUCAAUUUGAUCCAAAUUAUUUACACAAGGUCUCUAAAAAUAUUUUGCAUCACAUAUAUUUUUCUCACACUUUUUUAAUCAUUUUUGCAUUUUUGGUUAUUUUUAUUUCUUUUUUCUUUUUAAUUUCCUUUUGCAAAUUUUUAAUCAUUUUCAAACCUUUUUGCAUCCAAAUUUUGUAAUCCAUUCAUGGGUAAUAUUUGGGACCUUGUGUAUUUUCUUGGCCAUUUAUUCAUUGUUUUGCUUAUGGUUUAGAAUUUUCUCUUUAAUCUCCCAUUUUUAAUCCUUUUUAUUUCAUUUUUAGUUCAAAUUUUGUCAUUCUUUUGACUUUGCUUGAGUGUUUACUUGGUUGAUGAGAUCUUUAACAUUUCAAACCAUUGAUAAAUGGUCCCUUGGUUGAUUCAAUCUUCUACAAUUCAAUAUGUUGAUAGAUGAUCAUUUGAUCAUAUUUCUUACACUUUGAGUUAGUGAUAGUUUAUCCCUUGGUGUAGCAUAUGUUUGAGUCCUUUGACUUGUUGAUAGAUGAUCCCAAGGUGAUGACUUGAAUUUGCCUUCUAACAUCUAAAAUCUAACUUCAAACCUCUAACACUUUACAUUCUUGUACCUUAGAUUCUUGCAGAUUACUUUUAUGUCUCAUUAUUCAUCACCUCACUUCAUACACUAUUCAUCUUGUCUUGUUCAUCUUAUGCUUCUUAUCUUGUGCUUGGUUUGCUUGAUAAUCUCAAUGAAUCAAAACAUGAUAAAAUGGAUAGACUUGAUCCUUAAGACCCAUGCUUGACUUGGAGUGAUGUUGAAGACUUCAGACUUUAGACUUAAGACUUAGACCUAUGCUUGAUCUGGAGUGACUUUGGACUCAUGGACCUCUUGAUCACUUACACCUUGUUCACCUGUUGAACUUUUGAAUUUAUGAUCUUGUCAUCUUGUUUAUUGUCCAUUGCCUUAUGCCUUUGUUUAUCACAUUUAUUUGUUUAGGUUAGCACACAUUAACGCACGCAUGACCUACUCUUAGGCUACCUAACAACGAGACCUAGACUUAGUACACUUUUUCACACACAUGGCUUACUCUUGGGUUACCUAAAAAUGAGACCAUUUUCUAGUUUUUUUAUGAUCAUGCAUUGUGUGUUUUAUCCAUCUCAUUCCCUUUGAUUUAGCUUAAUCAAAUCCCAUUUGAUCAACUAUAUCCUUUGACUUUGCACACAUUCCAUUUGUCUUUGUCAAGUGACCAUAAGUCUCUUGGUCACUUGAUGAGACUGGUCUCUAUUACCUUGGAUCUCAAUAUUCCCAACAAGUAUAAGACCUCAAGUUCAAGUCAAGGCAUCAACCAUCUGCCUCAUCCCCACAGAGAAUCCAUGAGAACCUAUUUCAAUAACUUGUCAGACAUUGACAAAGAUUACAUGUCACGAGCCUUAAGCAAUAGAGAAGGGGUGAGAGGGAGAAUUCAUAUCCUCGUUCUGAAUAUUUUAGGUGUGGGACAAAUGACCAAGUUGCUCGGAGUACUCAUCUCUAUUAAUAGACUUUAGUGCAAUUCAAGUCAAUUUACUAUCAAGUCUGCAACUAGACCUAUGGCUCUCCUUUCAACUACCUCUUGGUUUAAACACCAUCUCAAACUCCUUUUGGUUUAAACACCAUCUCAAUUUCCUCUUGGUUUAAACACCAUAAUUUGUUUUCCACAUUUUGGGUUGACACAUUCAUGGUUAUACACCCCUUUCUUGGUUUUGACACCACUUUCACCUUUCCGUUCUUGGUUAUGACACCACAAUUUGGGUUAAUCACCUUCAUGGUUAACACCCAUUUUCUUGGUUUUGACACCACUUUUAUCUUUUUGUUCUUGGUUAUGACACCACAAUUUGGGUUAAUCACCUCCAUGGUUAACACCUUUUUUCUUGGUUUUGACACCACUUUUAUCUUUCUGUUGUUGGUUAUGACACCACAAUUUUGGGUUGAUCGCCUUCAUGCUUAACACCCAUUUUCUUGGUUUUGACACCACUUUUAUCUUUCUGUUCUUGGUUAUGACACCACAAUUUGGGUUAAUCACCUUCAUGGUUAACACCCAUUUUCUUGGUUUUAACACCACUUUUAUCUUUCUGUUCUUGGUUAUGACACCACAAUUUAGGUUAAUCACCUUCAUGGUUAACACCUUUUUCUUGGUUUUAACACCAUUUUUAUCUUUUUGUUCUUGGUUAUAACACCACAAUUUGGGUUAAUCAUCUUCAUGGUUAACACCCUUUUUCUUGGUUUUGACACCACUUUUAUCUUAUUUUCUUGGUUAUGACACCAUAAUUUGGGUUAAUCACCUUCAUGGUUAACACCCUUUUCUUGGUUUUAAUACCACUUUUAUCUUUCUAUUCUUGGUUAUGACACCAUAAUUUAGGUUAAUCACCUUCAUGGUUAACACCCUUUUCUUGGUUUUAACACCACUUUUAUCUUUCUGUUCUUGGUUAUGACACCACAAUUUGGGUUAAUCACCUUCAUGGUUAACACCCUUUUCUUGGUUUUGACACCACUUUUAUCUUUCUGCUCUUGGUUAUGACACUACAAUUUGGGGUUAAUCACCUUCAUGUUUAACACCCAUUUCCUUAAUUUUGACACCACUUUUACCUUUCCUUUCUUGGUUAUGACACCACAAUUUUGGGUUAAUCACCUUCAUGGUUAACACCCUUUCUUGGUUUUGACACCACCUUUUAUAUUUCCUUUCUUAGUUAAUUCUUCUUUUUCCUUGGUUUAAAUACCGCUUCAGUCAGUUUCUAGUCUUUUCCGGUUUAAACACCACCCCAAUCUAUCUUUCUUUCAGUCUUAGUUCUCCAAAAUAUGGAGCUCUGACUUUCUUAUUGCACAAUGAGGAUACGUAGGGACGAGGAUGUGAAUCCUUGGCGAGCACUUUUCUUUCUUUCCCCCCUUUCUUUCUCUGGUUCCACGAACUACGACGCUCUGACUUUCUCAUUACAAUAUGAGAAUACAUAGGCAUGAGGGCCCCAAUCCUCCUCGAGCACUCUCUCUAACCCAUUUUCUAUUUUGCAGCUACACGAAGAUAGCAACACCCAUCCAAGCAAGAGCAAUGAAAAUAGUUCCCAUGGAUUACUAUGGAUGUGAGGGGUGUUAAUACCUUCCCCUUGCAUAACCGACUUCCUUACCCAUUUCUCUUUCCCCUUGGGUUUUAUCUAUAUUUCCCCUUCCCUCUUUUAGGGAUAAAUAAAGUUUGGUGGCGACUCUGUUGUAUGUUCGAUUGUGUGACGUGUUCGGGUAUAUUUCUGUCUAGCUUCAGCUGCCGACUCUACUAGGGACUGCAACCUAGUUCGAAGAAGGAGUCGACCCUAGUUUUGUUUGUUUUCUUGUUUUCUUGGAUGUUUAUUUUCAUGGUUUUCCUGCUUUUAUCAUCAUUUUUGUUUAUUGCAUUUAUUUUAUUGCUUUAGAUAUUCAUUUGCUAACCCAUUCUGGAUAUCUGUAUUUUGUUGUUGUUGGGUUGGGCUGAUGUUACUUGAGAUAAGCUCUACACCCAAGCUUGAGUAUACACACGGGAUAGACUCAUGGAUAGUCGUGUUGACCUGGGUUUCACGCAUUGGGUUGGCACGAGACCCACACCUAGACUAGAUUCACUCGGGAGUACUUUUGUCAUGUGAGAAUUCACUAUGACAGAGUAUUUUCAUUUGAAUCCAUGACUUUGGGAAGCCUUUUAGGGAUUACCUUGAAGACUAGUAUGAACCUGUGAGUGGGAUAUUGGUUUUUUGCUGGAAACUAAGCUCCUACAUACUCUAGUUCUCAUGUAACUUCGAACCUUUGAACCAACAUCAAGUAGAAUGUUCAGAUUAUCCAAAAUGUGCCAUGUUGUUGCAUAACCUUUGCAUAUGAUAAAUCAUCAUUGCAUCAUAUAAAUAUUUUUGCAUAUGCAUUUCUAGGGAAUCCGAGAGCCUAGUUUGUUGUCAAGUACUCAGAGAUAGCAUGAAUCCUGUAUAAUGGGUGUUUUCAGUUACAAGUUUAUGGAACCUCGAUUGAAGACUUUGAAGGGAUUGGGAACUCAUCUGGUUUUGGAUCACAUAGAAGAUUUCAAGAAGGCCCGUGGGAAUCUCGCAGGUAUUCUCAACACUGAAAUGAACAUUACAUCAGUUCAUACCCUGAUGCAGUUCUAUGACCCUCCCAUGAGGUGUUUCACUUUUCAAGAUUAUCAAUUGGCUCUUACGUUGGAGGACAAAGCUAACCAUAAAUCUCGAAUGCGUAUAUGGUGUACAAAGCUAACCUUCCACUAAUAUCUAGACACUCCAGUGUAAGAGAGUUGACAUCAUUCAAUUCGACCUCAAACCAAGAAUUUACUUAGGGGAAGGGAAGGAAAGUCCAAAGGCCAAUAAAAUGUUUUUUAAAAAGGACAGAUCAACAUGGUUGCCUCAUAUAAAUCAAAGACAUAAAAAAUAAUCUACUAAGUUGAAUCAUCAUUAGAGGAAAAAAUAUUUCCAUCUAUUACUUUUUGAUUGGAAUGGAAACCAUUCCCUCAAAAUCUUCACACUAGGGUUGCGAAUAUCUACCUUCAAAUCCUUCAAGGUAGCUUCCAUGUCCUUUAAGAUCUAGUGAGUGGAGGUAAUAUACCCAUUGACACUGGCAAAAGAAGCCUUAAUAUCAGUCCAAUAUGUUUGCACUUUUCCCGGAUCCUUCUCAUUCUCAUAGAUCAGCUUCUCAAGUUCCUUUACCCUCAUAUAUAGGGUAGAGGGAAAGUCAUACUUCUUUUUCUAUUCAUCAACAUUCUUAAAAAGCUUUUGCAUUUCUACAAGAUUGGUGUGAAGAUUAUCUAUAUACAGAAGGGUAGAUUUCAAAUGCUAGCAACAAAAGCCAUAACAACACUUUGGAAGAACAUAUUUCUCCCUCCUCAGAUUGUGUGGGGCCAGGACAUCACUUUUGCCAACAACACCAAAAGACAUUAUAGGGGUUACCUUAUGCAAGUAGUAGAAUAUCUCUACCAUUGACUAUCUCCGAGUUAGUUUAGCCAAACGUGCAAAAUAGAUGUAGUUGUUGUCCAUAAAGGCAUUCUGAACAUCGUUACCCGACCUCAGCCUAGGGGUGAAGAGAAAGGAUUGCGAAGAAUAAGAGGGUAAAUCAUUUUGAGUUCCCUAAAGGAGCAAGUUCCCAGUGUCAAGACCAUAUGUCCUGGAUUUUUUAUGAAGCAUGAGCAUCCACUGCAUGACCCUUAUCUAGCAUCCUUAUAUAAGAGUCUUUUCUCACCGUCCUCAAAGAAUAUCUCUUAGAAGCUUGGUUUAUUGGCCGAUCAUAAACUAUCUUCAUGGCUCUAGGGUUUCAUUGAAUUUUCCAUGUUUUGUUUCUCUCGUCCUUCCAUACCUAGGUUGAUCCUAAGAGUUUGUUGCCAAUGGUUCCAACACUCAAUUUGCAUAUCCAAAGCCAGUCACUAUUUUUCCUCUACCAUAACCUCUACGAGUUGAACUUGAGGGGUACAGAAGGAGAAUGUGUGUUCUUUAACCCCUUAUUCAUUUUAAUAAUUGCUUGAAGGAAGCUUAUGGUGUAUGCAAAAUAGAAAACAUUAGAUAAGCAUUCAAAGGAAAUUGAAUGAAAAAACACCAAGUAUUCAAAAACAAGAAAAAUUUCCCUCCUCACCAAAUAUUCUCGGGCUCUCCUUUUUGUUGGCCCAUUCUAUGUUUAGGAUAAUUGUUACCAUAAGGGUAUACAUCGUCCACAUGACCUAGAUCAUCCUAAAACUUGACCAAGUUGUUUUUUAAGUAUUCCUCUUCUUGUGAGACAAGUAUUAUGAGUAAGGGAAGUUAAGUGCCCCGAGGUGAGGCCCGUACCAUCCACAUAACCCAUCUGGAUCUCUCUGAAGCUUUCAUGAGCAUCGCAAAUAAGAUAGGAAACCAGGUAGUACAUGUCUUAAAUUUUUCUAAAGAUAUCCAUGUAAACUUCAAAAUUGUAUUCCCUUGUCUAAAAGCAAGCAAUCCUUGAGGCAGAUUCUUAUUGGUCGAAGUAAGUUGUAUAUGGAAGAUGUGGAAGAAAAAUGUCAAAGUAGGGACAUGAUUUUUUUACUUGCACCAACAUUGAAAGACCUUAAUGUAAGUCCAUCUCACAUGGUGCAACCGCGAAAGAGGAAUCCCUAGAUGAUUCAUAACCAUGAUUUCAAAAUCGUUGAAGGGGAGUCAAAACCUCAUUCUGGAGAAUAAAAACUCACCCACUAACAUUUCACAUCCAUUGAAUCGACUACAUACUAUCUUAUUAUCAUCGACGUGUAAUACCGUCUAGUUAGAGGACAAGCUUACGUCAUAUUAGGCAUUCUCUAAUAUGAGUUUAUUACUGAAGACAAAUCUAAUCCCUAAGAUAUCUUGCUCCAACCAUGAAUAUUGAUCAAUAUCAACAUGAGGUUUAAGAUCUUGUUGUCCCUAUCGUACCAUGUUUGCCUCAGUGUCAAAAAGUUAAAAGUUAUGAGUGUGAGUAAGAGGACGCGAUUGAAACUAUAUGCACCACUUAACUUUAUUGUUGAUGGGAUCAUGAUCAUUAAGGCGUUUAAAAGCUCUAAUGUAGAUCUAGGCCUUAUUUUCAUGUAUAGGAUCACUUACACACUCUAGGUAUGGCGUGGGGAGGCUAGGAAAAUUGAAUCCAAUGGUUACUACUCUAAGGUAAAUCCUAAAUGAAGUAAGUUAUAUCUCUUGAGAAUAAUUGGAUUCAACGUUUAUCAGCUCCGGGGGACCUAUCACUUCCACAACGUCCAUGUUUGGAUCCCCCAUACUUACAUUCUCCCUAGCCUCUACGAAAAUCACCACAAGGCGCAUCUCUCUAACGACAAUGAAUAUAAAAAAUUUAGGCUUAUCACUUUGGCCUGAGAUGAAGCAUCGUUAACCUCUCCAUCACUACUCAAAUCUAUGAUUAGAUGUUUGAGUUUCCUAUAUUGGCCAUGACAAGAAAUCAAAUACAAACAAUUGAAAAAGAGAGGUGAAAGAUAAGUACCUUGAAUAUUUAGUAGGUCUUGAAGAGUGGAGAGAGAAAAAUAAUCAUAAACACAAGAAUCAAUUUUCAACUAGGACGAAGAGCAUAUAACACAAAAAGAUUACAAAAAGUAUUCGUAAAAUCGCAAAGGAAAUGAAGAAAACUAUAUCAUUUUGAAACAAUAAAGGUGAAAAAAGUAAAUGACUUUGCUCACAAAAUUUAUAGGCCACCAAGGGCAACAAGGUCAAUAAAGCAUAAUCAAAUGAGCAUCGAAGGUCACGAUCAAUAACGCAAAUGAGACUUCACAUCUAUAAUUGCACUCGAGUCCACACAAAUACCCUAAGGGAUACAUCUUUGUACUCUAAGUGCAUGGUUCCACAUGCAAGGCCUCCCUUAAAAUAACAUUUCAAUGAUGUGAUGGGCAUUUAAUGCCCAUGUUCCCAAGGUCACCAACCUUACUCGACUUCUCAUACAAACUCCUCAUCUUCCUAAAGCUUCCUUUGACAAGUUCCCACUUACACGACGUAACUCACUAAAGACCAACUUCUAAGUUUUUGCAUCAAUAAUCCUAACUUAUAUCUAAAAGAAAGGACUUAGUGGGGAAAUUGUUUUGUACUGGCCAAGCGGUCCACUAAGACCGGCCUAACACAAAUGCCUAAUCCAAUAAGAGUUGUCAGGUGUCUAUUCAACUAAUGCACCACACUAAAGCAUAACAUCAGCUUUAUCUCAAUUAUUAGUGUACACUCCGGGACAUCCUGCAUCUUAUGUUGUAUCUACCGAUGAUUGUUCUAACCACCAUUCGUAUACAAAGGUGACCCUUUGUCUCCCCAUAGUACGAUUCCUUACCUACUUGUUAAGUUUCACAUCUUUUAUUUAUCGACUUGAGCGUUAGAGUGUUAACCUUCCACGUACCCUCUCUUCGAUCACUAGAAAGACAUACCAUCGCGUUAGAAAACCUUUGUACAAUGGUCAUCAUCCAUACACUACUAUUUCAUGUUCCACACCUAAAUAAUGUCUUUAAUUGUGUGUAUCUUUAGGAUUAUAGAGGUAACUAGUGAGAGGAUGUGUGAGAUAACAAUUACUUUUGUUAUCAUCUAGGUUUUCAUUGACAAAGUUAAUUGUCUAAUAAAACAACAAUUAAAUAGUUAAAAAUCGAGGAUAUCUCUCAUUAGACCUAACAGCAAGAUGGAUCAACUUAUAAUAAUCUACUUCAAACAUAACCUAAUCAAACAAUUAAUUAAUAAUUAGCAUUCGAUAACAAUACUUCAAAAUAUUUUAGUAAUAUCUUAUAAUAACUGAUUAUAUUAAUCAUAAGUGAUUAGUUAAAUACUUAACCUAUUAUUCUCUAACUUGAAUGACACUAAUCGAGUUUAUAUAGAAAAUUAUGAACUAAUCAAAAUAGAAGUAAAGUUGGAUAUUAAAAAAAAUUAUAAAACUAAAUUAUUCAAUUGAAAUCUCUUUUAACAUGUUUUUCUUUUAUCUUAAACAUCACUUCUAUAAAAUAAUUUUUAUAUAUAGUAAAACUAUUGUGCAAAUAUUUAAUGUCUACGUUAUAUAAGUUAAAUUAAAAGAUGUUACAUAUAAGUGUAAAUAACAAAAGUACUUAUGUAAAAAAAUUACCUUUAAUUUAUUUAAAAAACAAUAUUCAAAUUCAUGUUUUUUUAACUUAAAUAAAUUUUGUAUUUUAAAUAUUCAAUCUCAAUAUAUUUUUACCAUUUUCCAUGAUUUAAAGCAUAUAUUACAAAAAAAAAAUGAAUAAAAUAUUUAAUUAUCAUACCGAAGACAAAACACAUAAACAAGCAACACCCUCGUAACCGCAAGGUAACGUCCUCAGAGGGGUAUUAUAGUAAUUUAGACCCUACCCUACACACAGGUCUCAUCGCAAAAUUGCGAACUCCAUUUGAACUUUCUCUCUGGAAUGAAAAAUCUGAAUCUCUCUCUCUCUCUCUAAAAUUUUGAAAGAAAAAGAAAAUGCAUAAUUAAAUAUUAAUUUAUUAUUAAACCCAAACCGUUAAAGAAACUGCCCCAAAGAAACUUUUUCUUGAAUUUCGAUCCUUUGUGCUUCGCUUUGUUCUUCCUCUCUCUCUCUCAGGUAUAAGAUUCUCAUCUUAACUAUGUGAAAUCUCAUCUUUAUCUUUUUCCUUUUUUUGAUCUGUGACAAUUUAUGACCAUACUAAUUACUGAAUCUUUGUUUUUAUUUUGUUGAUUUUGUUGAUUGUGGUUAUGAUAUGCAAAUUGAUGAAUCGGAUCUUUGUUACCUCAUUAGAGAUGAAUAUAAGAUAGAAGGAAUUAGGAUAAUGAAGUGAGAUGAAUUUGAUUUGAUUCUUUGUUAUUUUGAUAAAUUGGUGAUUUAGGUUUUGUUUUGUGUGUUGGAACAGAUGGUAAAGGGAGGGAAGGUUAGUAGCAAAGGUAGUUUCAGGAAAAGGGCUAGGUCAAAGGGGGGUGGUUCUGAUGAUUCCGAUGAGGAUUAUGUGGUUUCGGAUGAUGCGGGGAAUGUGUCUGAUUGUCCUGAGGAUGAUUGUUUUUCUUUAGAUGGAUGUGCGCCCGAGGAUAGUUUUGAUGGUUUUAUAGAAGACGAGGAUGCGGAAGUGGAGAUUCGACCGGUGACGAAAUUCAAUAGAUCGAGGGCUAAAACGGGUGUACGGCGUCAGGGGAAGAAUGUGAGUAAAACUGCGCGGAAGAGACAGAGGAUUACAUAUGCAGAAGAAAUAGAUGAGGAAGAAGAGGAAGAAGAAGAUGAAGAAGUAGAAGAAGAAGAUGAUGAUUAUAAUGGAGAAGAAGAGGAGGAAGAAGAAGAAGAAGAAAAAGAAGUGGACGAGGUAGAAGAAGAAGAAGAAAAAGAAGAAGAAGUGGAAGAGGUAGAAGAAGAGGUGGAAGAGGUAGAGGUAGAUGGAAAUGACGAGGAUGAGGAUUUCAAUUAUGAUGAUGACGAAUUUAUACCUGAGGAAGAAGAUUACACGGACGAAGAGGAAGAAGAAAGAAGUGGGCGGAAGAAGAAAAAGGAGGAUUUUAGUUAUGAAGAUGAAGAAUUUAUACCGAUGGAAGAAGAAAGAAGGGGCAGGAAGAAGAAAAAGGAGGAUUUCAAUUAUGAAGACGAGGAAUUUAUACCGACUGAAGAAGAUUACACAGAUGAGGAGGAAGAAGAAACGAGGGGUAUAACGAAGAAAAACAAUGGCAUUCAAAUGGGAAAGAAGAAGACUUUGAAGAAAAGGGUUUCUGCAACUUCUAGCAGAGGUCGAAAAAGGAGUCGCUCUAGAGUUUCAAAGAAGACCAAGAGAAAGAGAAGAGGAAAG
rnacentral:lncRNA from 1 species